UAAAAUAUAAGAUAAAUAAAUAAUAAUAAUAAUAAUAAUAAUCAAGUGGGUAUAUAUUAUAUUGUAUUAUUUAGUAGUACAAUAAAUGUACAAUAAAUAAAUAGAUAAAUAAAUAUAGGGUUAAUUACAUAUAGCUCCACGUAAACAUAUCGAAUAAUAAAUAUUUUUCUAGAAAGUUAAACUUUUCAUAGUUUGCGGUGUUACGAUGCGUUAAAAAAAUAUAGUUAACCAUAGAUAAAAUGCUUAAUUCUAGUCGGUGAAUAAGGUAAAUUGAUCUUUUUAUCCCUCUUAUAUUAUUUAUGAUGGUAGAAAUUAAAGAAGAAGAAAAUGACUGUUGAAAAUUUUUUGAAGAAUACCUCUGUAUCAUUCUAACAGUUGAGAUUUUUCAAGAAAUAUAUUUGUGAUCACAAAAAUAUUAAUUUUCUUAUAUUUUUGUUAAAAAAUAAAUUGUAUUCUAACGAUAACACAGGUGAUCAGAGGCAAAUAUAAAUAUCACCGGACUAUUGUAGGGGUAAAUAUAAAAAUUUUAACUAUGUAUUCGAUAUAUUUAUAUUGGGAUGUAUAAAAUUAACCCUAAGGUAAAUGUAUAACAAUAAAUAAAAAAAAAUGUAACAGUAUUGAAAAGUUGAAAAGGGUCUGGGGUUUCAGUUUGGUUGGGUAUGUGUGUCUGAAAAUUCCUCUGCAUGCGGGGCAGAGGUUUGGACAGAGACCUAAUAAAGAAGGUACGACUUGUAAACACCUAGCUUAGCUUAGGCCCCCACUUUGGACUUUGCACUUUGGAGCUUGGUAAAAUAAGUAAUUAUUAAAUAUCAAAUUUUGAGACUUUUUUUUUUUUUUUUUUUUUUUUUUUUGCUUAGAUUGUAUUUAGUUGGUCGUAAAAUAUACCGAAAAUUAUUUUCUGAUAUGUUUGUUUAAGUCUUGAAUUUUUUUCGAGAAACUAUAUUUACAGAUUUGAAAAAAAAAUUAUAGUGUUUUCGUUUUCCACCGAUUUUCGACGAAAAAUAAAAAUUCAAACUGCAUCAAUUUUUUUUUAAAUUUUUUUCUGCCGAAUAAAAUAAAUAUUAAUAAAAAACUAUUUAUUUUUCCUACCAGCUGAACACGAUAAAGCGUAAAUUCUUUUUUCUUUCGAAUUCUUUUUUCCACGAAAGAAUAUUUUUCACGAUUUUAUGUACAACUAAACAAUCCCUUGAUGUGAAACUUCGAUAAAAAAAUGUAUGAAACUUAUCUAAAAUAUGGGUCCAUUUAGAUUUAGCUAUCCAAUCUUUGAAAAUUUUAAUUUUACUAUCCAACAUUUCAAUUUGGCUUGAUUUGAGUCCGUCGACAAUACUUUGACUCUAAAAUUUAAGCUAAUUACUUAUUUUAAAAAAUCAAAAAUUUGAAGUUAAAAUACUGGUGAACCACUCAAAUCGAAAAAAUUGAACGGAUGAAUAGUAAAAUCAAAAUUUUGAAAGGUUGAGUAGUUAAAUUCAAAUUGUCCAUAGUUCAGAUAAGUUUCAUACAAUUUUAUCUGAAUAUACUUCAUGUUUAGUCAAGUCUCCAAUAUUUCAAAAUUUUAAUUUUAGUAUUCAACCAUUCAACAUAUUUGAUUUAAGUAAUUUGACGAUUUUUCGGAUAUAAAAUUUAAACUAAUUAUCUACUUUAAUGCAUUUAUAGUUAUACAAAUUGUAUAAAAUAUACUAAUUAAAUUUAUAAAGAUAAAUGAUGCUAUCAAAUUUUAAAGUUUAAAAGUCACUAAUUUGCUCAAAUUAAAAAAAUUAAAAGGUUAGGUAUUAACUAUAUACGGGGUAAAUAGUUUGAUCAAAAUAAAUAAUAACUGAGAUGUGUUUUAUACAUUUUUACUUUUACUUAAUAUUAUAUAAGUUUCUGUGUGUGCAGGACGAAAAGUAUAUUUUUCUCAGUCAGAAUUUUAUAAUAUAAAAUAGAAAAAAUUAUAAAUAUUUUAAAAUUUUGUGGAUCUUUAGUAACCAUAUAUAUUAUUAUCAAACUAAGUUUUAGUCAUGUGACACGUUUAUCACUGCCGUGAUUUUGUGUAGCAUAGAUAAUAGUAAAAGUAAAAAUGCAACAUUUGCUACUCUUGAUUUUUCACCAUAAUGAUAAAACUUGUAAUCUUUUUUUACUUUUUUUUAUUUAAGAAAUUGUUAUUCCACAACUAGACAGAAAGCGUCGCAAAUAAAUUGGUAAUUAUAAAAAUAAAAUAGUUUAUCUGACGAUAUUUAGCUCUCUAAAUAACAAUUAUAUGGAACAGUUUUAAUUACCAUUUAGAAAAUAUUUUAUUUAUGAUUUAUCCUCUAUAUUGUUAUAAGCAAUUUGAAAUGGAAUUUUCGUGUCUCAUCUCAUCGAGACUUAAUUUAUGAGAGAACAAAAUUUGAACAGAGAUAUUCUCCCAAAUAAAUUCUCUUAAAUGAUAAAUGAAUUUUUCACCAUAAAAAAACCCAAAAAAAAAAAGAGAGAACAUUUUUCCAAAUUCACAACAAAGAGUUUCAAACCUUUAAUCUUUUUACCCAUGUGGGAGCAUCAAUAACUUGGCGAAGUAACAGUGAGAGAUUACAUGGAAAAACUUAAAAAGGUGAGUUAAAAAACACAAAAAAACACGCACAAAACUAAAAACAAAAAAGCAAAUGUAUAUAAAUAUAUAUAUAUAUAUAUGUGUUGCAAAAAUUUGCAAAAGAAGCCAAAGGGGGAGAAUAAGAACCCUUUUGACCAAAUGGCGGAAUGCGACAAGAAAGGAAUUAUGCACCGAGAUGAAAAAGGCCGAUUCGUUUCUGACCACAGGAUCACCACAACUGUACCAUCUUGUACACCUUUAUUAGCCACUAAUUAAUUACACAUACAUUAAUUUCACAAUAGUUAAAUUUAACAGACAAUUGCCGAUAUACCCUUCAAAACUUCAGAAAUAUCUCAUUAUCUCUAUUUUUAUUUUUUCUAAUAUACCCCUCAUAUGUUCCUCCGUUAUUUUAAAAUACCGUUGCACUUUUCAUCUGUUAAGUUAACUUGGAUUAAACGUGAGUUAAAUAUCUACUAGAAUUAAAAAAAAAUUAAAAUGACUCUUUUGCAAUUAACUGAAGGACAAAUAAAAAAUAUUUGUGAUGGUAGAAAGGUAUAUUUAAAAGAGAUGUUUGAAAGGGCAAAAUAGUAAUUUCAUAGAGAUAACAUCUAAUUUAACUGUUCAUUAACAGAAUUUAACUUUAGAGAUAUAUUUGAAAUAGAUUGAAACGUAAGAAGAAUAUUUUCAAUAUUAGCCUUCUAAGAAGGAUAAAUCAGAAAGUCGAAAAUUUUUCAGAGGUAUAUAAGCAAUUGCCUCUAAAUUUAAUUANAAUAAAAAAUAUUUGUGAUGGUAGAAGGGUAUCUUUAAAAGAGAUGUUUGAAAAGGGCAAAAUAGUAAUUUCAUAAAGAUAACAUCUAUUUUAAUUGUUCAUUAACAGAAUUUAACUUUAGAGAUAUAUUUGAAAUAGAUUGAAACGUAAGAAGGAUAUUUUCAAUAUUAGCCUUCUAAGAAGGAUAAAUCUGAAAGUCGAAAAUUUUUCAGGAGUAUAUAAGUAAUUGCCUCUAAAUUUAACUAUUACUAGUAUAUAUUUUUUUAGAUAAAAAUGUUCAGAAUUUAUUUAAGCUAUAAACGAUUUUGAAUCGUCUCAUAGAGCUUUUUUAAAAUUUUAAUUUUACUAUGAAUUUUUUUAAUUUGUAUUAUUAGAGUCAGCCAUAGGCAUAUUUAUCUUUAUAAGUUUAGUUAUUAAUAUUUCAUAUAAUUUUUAUAACUAUAAAUUUAUUGAAAUUAGUAAUUAGCUUAAAUUUAAAGUCAAAGUAUCGCUGAUUAAUUCAAAUUAACUAAGUUGAAAUAUUGAAUACUAACAAAAAAUUUUCAAAAAAUUAGAUAGCAAAUUCAAAUUAAUUUGUAAAUCAGAUAAAUUCUAUAUUUUAUUUUUGUUUUUUUUUAAGGAAAAGGUACUUUCACCACACACUUCUCGAUAUAAACUAAAUACUACUAGCCUAUUAGGAUGCUAUCACUGUUUUGUAACUCCAAGCUGUUGUCGUGUCACCACCCAGCAUUGGGGAUGCAAAUGGUUCUGGAUGGGCGAAACUUUCGUUUCAAUCCGCUCCGAAUAUAAUAAUAAAUGAUAAUAAUAAAUAUAAAAAAGAUAAUCUAUUUUGAAUUAGUAAAUAGAGUUGGAGGCGGGAGAUUACUUUCUUCCUUUGAUUCAUCCCAAUUCGUUUGAAAUUCGCAAAAAAACUUGCACCCGUCGGGAAUUACACCGAAUUAAGCGGUAAAUAGGAACAAAAAAAAAGAUUAAUCGCCUCAAAUCCAGCCCGAUCCAACAAGAAAAGGAGACUCCUCAUGCCUCCGAAUCCGCCCUAUUUGCAUCCCUAUCUAUCAUUGAGCAUCCUCAUCAGCGUUGAGAUUACCGGUUUGAUCAUGUUCCUACUAAACACGUUUCUACUAAACAUGUUUCUAAAGAGUUUGAGUUAAUUCAAAAGCUUAAAUUAUUACAUGGAAAUACUCUCCACAAAUGAUUAAGUUCAUGAUCUUUUUUUUUUGUACUUUAUACAAAAUUAUUAUUCACAACAAUUUAUACCGUAAUAACUCCCAUGAAAAUGCAAAUAUUACACCGAAAAUUUUGGAUUAAUUAUAUCAUUGGUCCGAACCUUAAUUUUUCCUUUUUUUUUUUUUUACCUUGGUUCUCAUCGGGAUUAUUUAGUUGCAUAUAGUUCCAAUCUCAUUACAGUUGUAAUUACAUGCAUAUUCAAAUUCAUUAUUUAAUAUAAUAUAUUUGAAUUCAACUUCAGUAUUUAGUUGCAUAUAGUUCCAAUCUUAUUACAGUUGUAAUUACAUGCAUAUUCAAAUUCGGUAUUCAAAUAAUAUAUUUGAAUUCAACUAUAAUGGUUGGAACUGUAUAAGGAGGUCCAAUUGUUGUAGUUGAAAAAAAUAAUUUUAAAUAAAAGAUAAGCUUAUUUGUCUAAUUAUUUUUAGAUAGAAAGUAAUUUUUUUAUAUGAGAGUUUAUUACCACGUAUAUAAAGUGGUAAAGUUGGUUAAAAUAGAAAUUUCCCAUUAGAUGGUAAUGAGAGUUAAAAGUUAUGACCGCUCUCUAGCCAUCUUAGGGGGAAUAAAUUGUCAGGAUAGCAUUAAUUAUAUAUUUUUGAAUAAAUUGGGGAGUAAGUUGGUUUUGUCCCCAUUUCAGAAGAAUAAUAGAAGUUGGGGCAGAGAGAGAGAGAGAGAGAGAGAGAGAGAGAGAGGAAUGAUGGUGAUCUUCCUGCAGCUGCAGGACAAAAAAAGAAUAAUGAUGGAUUGUUGUGCCACCACCAUCGGCAGGAGCAGCACACCAGUCAAAAAAAUUUUACAUAAAUAAAUGGCACAUUAUUCUAAAUCAAGGUUUUAACUUACGGAUCGUAUCCAUCGUGUCGUAGAGUGUUAAUAAGAUACUGGUACAAUAUAGAUCCCGUGCCGAUAGCACAGUACGAUAUAGAUCCCGUGCCGAUAGCACAGCUCAAAACUCUCUCUUUUUUAAAUUAAUAAGUAAUUUUCUCAAUAAAGUUCAAAAGAUGUGAUAAAAAAAUAUAAUAAAUAGUUAAAAUAUUUUGUUGUUAAAUAAAAUAAAUAUUUCAUACUAUUAUGUGUCGGUACGCAAGAAUUUUUUUGACCGGCAUAUAUCGGCACAGCUCGGCACGCACUAUGCCAUACCGUGCUGGUAAAUUUCUGGCACGAUCCCGUAUCGCUGCACUUAAACUCUUAUUCUAAACAAACAUUUUUUUUUAAAAAAAUUGUUUUUAAAAGUUUUAAAAGUUUGCAAACUAGGAGAUCAAGCAUGUGCGUAGCUUAUUAACUUCAAGCUUUCUUUUUGAAAAUCUAAAUUUAGCUUCAGAUUUUCGAAUUCAAUGAAUUCUAUUACAUGUGCUAUAUCCUAGUUUAGGCUUCUAAACAGUUGGAUUAAGCCAGAUUGUUCGAACAUGAGUUUAACUGAAUAAAUAAAUAAGUAAACUGCUCGUUUGGUUCUCAAACUAUGAGGUAGAUGAUAUUUUAGUCCUUAAACUUUAAUAUAUUGCAAUUUUUAGAUCGAAUUUUUAUAAUUAUUAUAAUCGAAUUUCACAAUAUAAUUUGUUUGAUUAAAUUUUAACGCAUAAUUAACAUAUAAAUGAUGCAUCAUCAAUUAUAAUACUACUAUAUCAUCGCUACAUUAGUAAUAUAUCAAUAUUUAGUUGACGAGUCCGGCUGGGAUACUAUCAAUAACACCAAAUGCUUGGUGCUAUCAAGUUUUCGAUUGUUAGAUCUAACACUUUGACUAUUUUCACCUGUUAGAUUAUACUAUUAAACCAAUAACUUAUUCAACUCAACCAUAGAGGGCCUACAUCAUCCUAACUGUACAUUCAUUCAUCCAAAAGCCGAAAACCUAAUAGCACCGAUAGCUUGGUGCUAUUGGUAGUAUUUCAGCCUAAUUUAUUAGUUGACUAAAUAAAGUUAUAAGACUUUUUUGAGAGAGAAAGAGAAAGGUAGCAUCCAACCUGUUUCGUUUAUUUCUUUUUAGAAAUAAACUUAGCUAGAAAUAUGAAUUAAUUAGGAUUUGAACUUGAAAAUCUCGGGUACCAACCAUAAAGCCAUUUGUCACUUGCAUUAUAAGACUUAAUUACAAGAAUAUAUAUAGUCCAGCUGUCGGAUCGUUGGCACUAACCAUUAAUCCCAAAAGCUCGAGCUGUUCGAAAUACGCAACCAAUUCACUUAAAGCGUAUAGAUACAGCGCCCAUGGGUCUCGAUUGUGACUUGGCCCAACCAGCCUCACGCCACUUUGAACAUGACUCGGCUCACCCAGCCUCACGCCAUUUCAAAUAUGACUCGGUCCAACAUGGCUUUCCGCCACAGGACAGGAUGCUGGCCCAUUUAAGCCAACAAUCUUCCCUCCAGCACCUGCACACAUUUGCAACAGACGGGAAUCGAACUUGUGACCUCUGGCUCUGAUACUACUUGUCGGAUCGUUGGCGCUAACCAUUAAUCCCAAAAACUCGAGCUGUUAGAAACACAUAACUAAUUCAUUUAAAGCGUAUAGAUACAGCGCCCACGGGUCUCGAUUAUGACUCGGCCCAAACAGCCUCACGCCACUUCGAAUAUGACUCGGCCCACCCAGCCUCACGCCAUUUCGAACAUGACUCGGUCCAACAUGGCCUUCCACCACAGGGUAGGAUGCUGGCCCAUUUAAGCCAACAACGGCUAUGGUGCUUGUAAGUUUUCUCCCGUUAGAUCUACCUUUUUGGUCGUUUCCAUUCGUUAGAUAUUCAACCAACCACCCACGUAAUCCUGGGGGCCACUAUCAUUCUAACCGGGUAUUACUUAAUUGAAUUGCCGAAAAUCAACAAGCACUAAUGACUUAUGUUUAAAAGCACAGGAAAUCGAUUAUAUAUAGAGUUCGGCUACUAUACUCUUAUGAGUAUGAUCGCCCUCGUACUCAUAAGUUGUUUUUAAUGAUAGAGCUUCCGAAUCGACAAUCCAUACCGUUAAAUAUUAUUUAGGGCAUUUAAAACUUUUAGAAAUUAAAUUUUAUAAUUUUUCACAUCAUUUAUCUUACGAUCAAAAGCUCACAAAAUUGACAAUUUUUAACAGCUGGUAUGAGAUACUUGCUAGUUUAACGGUGUAAAAGAAUUGGAAUAGGUUGAAUUUUUGAUAGAAAAUUCUAUUCACUCUCUAGAUAAAGAUCAAUAACUCCGAUCUUAAAUUGAAGGAUCCGAUCAUCCAUUAUUAGGACGUUGUUCGAUUUCGACCGUUCAUUUUAUGCCCGUUUGAUGGAUUUUAUUUUGAUUUCGAAAAAUUACAAAAUUUAUUUUCUAUAAGUUUCAAAUACUCUAAAUCAUAUUUAACGGAGUGGAUCAUCGAUUCGGAAGUUCUAUCAUCGAAAACAACUUAUGAGUAUGAAGGGUCGAAUACUCAUAAGAGUAUAGUAGCCCUACUCUCUCUCUCCCUUUCUCUCUCUCUCUCCCUCUCUCUCUCUCUCUAUAUAUAUAUAUAUAGAGAGAGAGAGAGAGAGAGUUGAGCUCGAAUGCUAUCAGUAGUAGAAUGGCUCCGUUGUCACCCAUUUGUUUUCAAUGAUGGAGCCUCAAAAUCGACGAUCGGCACUGUUGAGCAUGAUCUAUAUUAUUUAAAGUAUUUAGAAACCAAAUUUUAUAUUUUUUCGAUAUUGUUUUCUUGUCUAUCAAGUGGACAAAAAAAAUGAACGGUUGAAAAUAAUUAUUCUUUAAAAAGUAAUGAUAGAAGUAUUGUAAUCAAGAUUAAGAGUAUAAAUCUCGUUUUAAAUAGUUUUAAAAAUUUUUCAACCAAAAUUCAAUUGAUUUGGAUAUCUUUACGCUGUUAAUUUAAACAAGAAAACGUCUUAUAUCGACUUAUCGAUCAUUAAAAUUAUAAAAUUUAAAAUUCUUUGAUCAUUAGGCCAAUAAUAUCAAAAAAAUUUGAAAUUUGAUUUUAGAUAUCAAGUAGUAUAGAUCAUAUUUAACGAUACCGAUCGUCGAUUUAGAGACCCUAUUAUAAAAAACAAAUGGAUAACAAUAAAGCCUGUUCGCUACUAAUAAUAUAUAUAUAUAUAUAUAUAUAUAUAUAUAUAUAGUUGAGCUAGAAUACUAUCGAUAGCAAAUGGGCUUCGUUGCCACCCAUUUGUUUUCGAUGAUGGAGCCUCCAAAUCGGCGAUCGGCACCGUUGAACAUGAUCUAUACCACUUGAAGUGUUUAGAAAUCAAAUUUCAAAUCUUUUCGACAUCAUUUGCCUAAUGAUCAAAGGGUUUCAAAAUUUGUAAUUUUAAUGGUCGAUAUGAGGCGUUUUCUCGUUUAACGGCGUAAAGAUAUCCAAAUCAAUUGAAUUUUUGUUAGAAAAUUCUUUAAACUAUUUAAAACAAGAUCUAUACUCUUGAUCUUGAUUACAAGACUCCUAUCAUCAUUUUUUAAAGAAUAUUCAUUUUCAGCCGUUCAUUUUUGUGUCCACUCGAUGAAUAAGAGAACAAUAUCGAAAAUAUAGAAAAUUUGAUUUCUAAACACUUCAAGUGGUAUAGAUCAUGUUCAACGGUGCCGAUCGUCGAUUUGGAGGCUCCAUCACCGAAAAUAAAUGGGUGGCAACGGAGCCCGUUUGCUAUCGAUAGUAUUCUAACUCAACUAUAUAUAUAUAUAUAUAUAUAAAAUUGAGCUAGAAUAUUUUUAGAAGCACCAACCCUUUAGUGCUUCUAAAUUUUUAGCUCUUGGAUCUACUCCUUGAUUAUUAAUAUAGUCUUUGGAUUAAACACUAUUCCACCUACCACCAUCAUCUCAACCUCACAUCUCUUCAUCUAAUGGCUAAAAACUUAAAAGCACCACCUUCAUGGUGCUUUUGAGAGUAUUUUAGCCCAACUCUCUCUUUCUCUCUCUCUAUAUAUAUAUAUUUAUAGAAUUGAGCUAGAAUACUUUUAGAAGCACCAAUCCCUUAGUGCUUCUAAGUUUCUAGCUCUUUGAUCUACUCUUUAAUUACUAAUACAUCUUGGAUCAAACACAAUUCCACCUACCACCACCUACCACGAUCAUCUCAACCUCACAUCUUUCCAUUCAAUGGUUAAAAACUCAAAAGCACCAUCCCCUUGUUGCUUUUGAGAGUAUUCCAGCUCAACAUGGUAGGGGUAUUAUAUAUAUAUAUAUAUAUAUAGAGGUGGUGUAGACUAUAGACUUGUUGCGUAAGGCGCCGUAAUUUUUGGCGUGUACAGAAAAAGGACUGGGAAUGCAUCUGCAUGGAUGGUCGUGAAGCAGGCCACACCAACACCAACAACGCAUUCAAUGAAUGAAUGUUUUUUUUGGCUUUCACUUUUCUCCUUUUUUCUUUUUAACAAUUUUAUUAUUAUUAAUAUUAUUGAAGUCAAUGCUUAGUUUUUGACUCCGUGUACACCACUCAUCCCAUUAUACCUAGAGAUUUAUUAUAUCGUAAUAAUUACCAGUAAAUGCCAUUUUAUACGAUCAUAAUUUGAAUUUUUUAUAUCUAGCAACAAUAUAAAUUAAAUAAUAUUUCAUAAUAUUAUUAUGAGUGAAUGGCCAAAAAAAAAAAAAAAUUAGCUGUACAUAUUCAAAUUAAGAACUCGUUCGAUUUUAUUUUUAUAGACGUAAUUAUAAAUUGUGUUAUAAUAUCAAAAAUUUGCACUUAGAUGAGGACAAUAAUAGUUAUCGAUCGUAAUGAUAUAAUAGAAAGUGUUAAUCAGAUUUUUAGUUCAAAUUGCCCUUUUUUGUUUUAAAUUACAAAUAUUUUUAAAAGAUAUCGUAGAGGACGUGUACUCUUUUGGUUGGUCCAAGUACAUACUCUACGGGGAAUUUUGAGCAAAGGGGUCAUUUCAAAUACCCAUCGAGGAGUCAACCGGGUAGUCCCAUCACGACCGUUCCCUUUUCUACACGGUUAUUUUGAUGCGUACAUUUUUGUUUAAACAUUUAUUUAUUUAUGUUCCUUUUUUUUUAGGGUAAGAAAAGUAGGAGAAUUUCUCACAUGGAUUUUUUUUUUUUAAUUUAUCAUGGAAUCUGUGAAUCUUUGAACCUUCCCACAUGAUUUAAAAUAUUAUUGUAGUUAAUUACACUGUAUUUUUAUUUUUGUUUAAAUAAAAUAUCUUUCAGAUAGAAUACUAAAUUAUUUUUUUUAAAAAUAAUAAAAUGAUGCCCAAUUUAAUAAAAUAUCUUAGUGCAGCUUUUUAAAUUAUUGUGUGGCAAAAUGAAAACUGAGUUGUACCGUAGCCGAGUAAAUUAAAGUUUAUUUAAGAAGGAUUUAAGAGUGUGUGUAUAUAUAUAUAUAGAGAGAGAGAGAGAGAGAAAGAUUAUUGUGCUAUUAGGAGUACAGUAGUCUUUGUGUUUCUAAGUUCUUAACUGUCCAUCAAAUUUGGUGGGUGGUUAAGGUGAAAGAGAAAAGAGAAAUUGGGUUUCUCAAUUUCUCUUAUCUUUGAAUUUUUUUUCAAUUUUUCUUUUCUCUUUUACCCUAGCCACCCAUCAAAAUUGAUGGACGGUUAAGAAUUUAGGAGCACAAAAACUACUGUGCUCCUAAUAGUACAAUAGCCCUACUCUCUCUCUCUCUCUCUCUCUCUAUAUAUAUAUAUAGUUGAGCUAGAAUACUAUUAAUAAUAUUUGCUCUUUUUUGCUAUCAAGUUUUUUAUUUUCGAUCAAAUUUUUUUUUGAUCAUUUCUAAUCAUUAAAUUAAAUAUUAAAAUCCAGUAAGAUUAUUAUUAUACUAUUGAUAGUAUCAAGUUCUUAAUACUAUCGAGUUUUCUGCCGUUAGAUAUACACUUCGAUGGUUUCUAUGCGUUAAAUUAUACUAUUCAACCAGCCACUCACUCAAUUCUUGGGGACCAUUAUCAUUUUAACCGCAUAUCCUUUCAUCCAACCCCUGAAAAUUCGAUAGCACUAAACGUUUUCUACUAUCGCUAGUAUAUAAUAGCAUAAUUUUUUUGUCCUCUGGUUUGACCUUGAGAUUUAAAUUAAUGUGUUGUAAUACUGAAUCAAUUUUUGAUAUUUUGUAGAUUGAAUGAUUGGAUUAGAUCAGUUAAAUAUCACUAUUUUUUAUUUAAGUUAAUAACUUCUUUGACUUUGCUCAGGAAAUAAAUAUUCAAAAAACGAUUCUUGGCGUAUGUGAACAAGAUAUAUACUAGAACUUGAAAACUUAAUUAUAAUAAUUUUUUUUUUUUUUGUUUUUCCACGCGGUCAAAACAAAAACUUUUGACAAAAAACAUUGCUAGUCCUUUGAAUAGUUUUUAAUGAAAACAAUAUUUCUAAGAAACUCAUGCCGUACCAAAACAUGUUUUCACAACGAUUCACAUUUGCAUCCACACACAUUGCGCGACAUAUCUUUUUAAUUUAUAAAAUUUAUGACUUUUUGAAAUCAACAUAAAUUUAUUUUAAUGUACGUCAAAUAUAUUUAUUAAUUGUACCAAAAUUUAUUAUUUGGCACCGACAAUUCGGAUCACGCAAAAAAUUUCACUUUGUUAUGAAUUCAAGUGUGCUUACACAAGUCCUUAAUUCAAAGUUGGAUGUCAACUAAGUUGUCACAAAUUAAAUUUAAAAAAAAACGUAACAAAUAAGUACAUUAACGCCGAUUUUCAAAGGAUUUGAGGAACACGAGGUUUAAUUAUGUGAAUUGAAAAAAUAGUGGUAUGAAAAUGAAGAUUCAAUAAGAGGUGAAAUGAACCAAAAUGAUUUGUUUCUCUGAACUAAUCUAUAGCUCGAUAACAUUAAAAUUGGUGUCAAUAACUAAUUAAUUUUGAAUUAGACGAUUAAUUAUAACUUUUUUUAAUAUACUUGCACAUGAAUAGGGAUGCAAAUGGAUUCGCCCCUUAUCAGACAACUAUUGUCCGUCCCGAAUCCGCUCCUAUCUACUGAAGCGGGAAGUGGAUACCCUUUUUCUUUCUUUAAUCCGCUUCCGAAUUGUUAAAAGUUUGCCAAAAAUCUGCUUCCGCCGUGAUUCGCCCAGAUCAGAACGGUAAGUGGGAGCUAAAAUUAGAAUUACAAUUAAUAUGUUCUGAAUCUAUCCUGACCCGACAAGAAAUAAAGCAGGAGGUGGAAAACUCCUCCUGUCUCUAGUUCCGUUCCGUUUGCAUCGAUGCAUGUAAACAUUGUAAUUUUAUGUGUUACCGUAAAAAAGAGUAAAAAAAAGUACUUAUAAUCAAUGAUAAGUAAAGUUUAAUGUAUAUAACCGUUUUGACAUUUACAAAUUUUAAUCAUUUCACUCGUGUAACUGAUUUUCACUUGUAACUAAUUAAACCAGCUCAACUCCACCGUACGAAGUGAUCGUGGAUGCGAACUGAACCCUAGAACAUGAAUAUAUCACAAUAGACGUUAAGAUUAAUUUUCAGCCGUUUGCUAUGAAUAUAUCAUAAUAGAUGUUAAGAUUAUUUUUGAGCCGCUUUCUCUCGGACAUGUACGGGCCAUCCACAAAGGGCCAAACGCGUAAUUAUUGUGAAAGUGAUAAAUAACGUAAUGGAUAUUUUUUUGAGAGAAAGAUAAUAAAUAUGCUAUCCGUUUCGUUUAUUUAUUUUUUUUUUAAAAAAAAUUAGUUGGAAGUGUAAAGCAAUUAGGUUUUAAACUUGUAACAUUGGAUACCAGCCGUCAAGUCUUUUACCGUUUGCGCUAGGGACGGUCAGUAUAUCACAAUAGAUGUUAAGAUUAUUUCUGAACUAUUUUCGAUAAUUGGAAGUGUAAAGCAAUUAGGCUUUAAACUUAUAACAUUGGAUAUCAGCCGUAAAAUCUUUUACCAUUUGCGCUGGGGACGGUCAGUAUAUCACAAAUAGAUGUUAAGAUUAUUUCUGAGCUGUUUUCGAUCGGGCACGUACAGGUCAGCAACAAAGGGCCAAUGCGUAAUCAUUUCGAAAGUGAUAAAUGUAGAUUUUGAAUGGGCGGGGGGAGGGGGGUUCACGGGGUGGAGGAGGGUGGGGGAGGGUACAGAAUUGGCCGGCGGGAGCUAAGGAUGGCCACAUUAUGUACUGCACCUGCCCACCACCAUCACCACCACCACCACCACCACCCCAACCCCCACCCCCACCUUCACACACUGAGGAGAGAGAGAGAGAGAGAGAGAGAGAGAGAGAGAGAGAGAGAGACCCCACCACGACCACAAAUAACCAACACACUCCCAGCUAAGCUGAUCAAAUGCAUGCAGAGGUGAUAGUUAAUAACACGCACCCAAUGUGUGUGUGUGUGUUUUUUUUUUGUUGGUUUGGUUAUUUCUCGCUUGGUCAUGAUUGUGUCGCUUUAACUUAUCUCGGCAGCAGCAGCGGGGAGAGAGAAGAGAGGAGAGGGUGUGCGGGCUUGAAUGAAUGAAUGAAUGGGGAUUUUAUUUUUAAGCCGCUCUCAAUCCUCUUGCACGUACAGCGCCAUCAUCAUUCCUGAUUCCUCUACUGGGCUCGGCCAAAAUUGGUAUUUGUACUGUUUCUCACACCUCCUCCUCCUCCUCCUCCUCCUCCUCUCUUAAUUAGCCUAGCUGUGUGGUGUGGCCCAUGCAUCUUUGGGAAUUCGCACUAGUAGAUUUAGAUAUAGAUAUAGAGAGAGAGAGAGAGAGAGAGAGAGAGAGAGAGGGAGAUGGAAUAAAUAGGAGUCUUAUUAAUACAGUGAUGAUGGUUUCAGUUAAUUGUUCCUCCUUUUUCUGUAUUUGUUUUUUUUUUUUUUCAAAAUUAUAUAUAUAUUUUUAAGAGAAAUAUAGUGUGCUUUAUGUUUACUUCUCACCGUACUGUAAUGGAGCUUGCGACAAUUAUGUAGCUAUGAUUUUUUUACUUGCGAAGAAGUAACUAUUUUGCUGUUGUUAGUAUUCCAGAUGUGAAAAUUAUUUGGGUGGGUUUAAUGUACAGUGCAGUGAAAGAGCUUCAAAACCAAAGUUUUUUUUUAUUAAUUAAAGAAUUAUUUGAGAAGGAAUAAAGUGUGUGAUAAGAGAUUGGAGAUUUAAUCCCCCCAUUUGAGAAUCUAUUAAAUAAAAAAUCUGAACCUCCAGAAUUACCCAAAAGGGUUCUAAAAUCCAAGGACCUACAAGCAAGAUCAAAAAGAAAGAAAGAAAGAAGAAAUAUAUAUAUAUUUAAAACUUAUUUAAUCUUUAAAAAUUUUAACUUUAAUUAUUCAAUUUGUUUGAUUUAAAUUAUUUAAUGACUCUUCCUAUACAAAAUUUAAACUAAUUACUUACUUUAACAAAUUUACAAUCACAUGAAUUGCAUAAAUUUUACUAAUUCAAUUUAUAAAGAUAAAUGAUGCAUUUGAAAUUUGAAGUUACAAAAGUCGUUAACUAGCACAAAUCAAAUAAAUUAAAGAUUGGAUAGUACAAUAAAAAAAAUUAAAAAUCAAAUAGUCGGAUCAAAAUAAGCAAUGAUUGAGGUAAGUUCUAUAUAUUUUUCACCCCCCAAAAAAACCUCAUCUCAACUCCUCAGAUCUGGGAAAAAAAAAAAAAGAAAAGAAAAAAAAAAAACCCUCGAGCUAUAAAAGGAAACCAAAGUUAUGAGGUUACUAUGCAUCAAACACUUGGGUUGAAAACCUGAGCUCUUGUAGAAGCCACAAGAGCAGUAAAAAUUACACAAAAUGAUUUCACACAACAGCUGCAACAAGGAAGAACAAUUGAAGAUGCAAUUAAUUUAACUGUCUUGUACCUCUUUCAAGGUGUAAUAUAUGAACACUUAAUUCUUUUAUUUCUAAAAACUGAACUGGGAGCUUAAAACAAGGAGGAAACAUAACAGGUAGUCUCAGUUUAUCCGAAUCAAAGAGAAGUUCUUGAUUGCAUAACAAGUUUACAGUCCUUGCGACGAGUUACAGAAUAAUAUACUGAGUUCCAGCUGAGGAUCCCUGCUCUCCUGUAGAAAGAUGAAGCACAUCAAAGCGUGAGCAAGAAUAAAGAACAACUUUUCAAAUAUAUAAGAUGAAAAGACAAAUUGCACAAGUUCACGAACUAUAGAGCAAAACUAAAGAAAUAAAAGAUGAGACAAUCUUGUGAGGCUAAUCCAAAAACCAGCGGACACACCAGCAUAUGCAGAUGCAGUCAAUUGAACGCCCCACAUAGACCGGAUUGGUGCGUAGCAUAGUAGUUGCAAAACGAACAUAAAUUGCCCAGCUAUGAUGGAUGCGUUUAAACAGUGUAAGUAGGGUUUGCAAGAUAUGUCUAUGAUCAGUUGCUUAAAAUUUUGACACUUAAAUGAAACAAUGCUGUAUAACUUACAUGAGCAGGUCAGGUCAUAACAAGUUUUACAUUUCAUUUACUUUCUCAAUUCCUCUACCUACUCUCUUUUGAUUGUAACACAUCCUUACGGAUUCACUAGAUUCAAUAUGAAUACAUUUCACUACAUUACACGAGGCUGCAUAUGCACCUGCAUAUACAUCCCCAACCUUCCAGAUAUGCUGUAGGGUGCAAUGCAGUUUCAACUAGAUGAAAAUUUGAAAAAACCGUAGCCUGAUAGUCAUUGCUCUUCUGCAAGGUAUCUCUAUAAGACAAGCUUGUUUACAUAGACUGAUUUCUUCAACAUAGCAACAUAAAAAACAAUUGUGAAUUACGACCACGAUUAUUGACCGUCAAAGUUAAACAGAUAUAUUCUUUGCGAUAUUAAUAAACCAACUUGAAGGUUUAUACUAAACAAUCACAUAAAUAACCAAAGAGCACACAUAAGUAGGCAAGCGAGAAACUGUCAGAUAGAGAUUAAAUUUUUAGACAAAUUACAGUGCCUAAUUUCUCCCACAAUUUCAAGACAGAUAAAUGCGUAGUUCAAUCAGACCACACCACUCCUUUUAGAACAGUUCAGUAAAGAGCAGCUGAGAUAUAAUAGUGAUCCACCAUCUAAAGAACAGUAGAUGUGCGCUACUACCGAUCCGAUAACACUACAUUGUCAAGUAUGGAUUUUAGCUUAAAUUACACUUAGCUGCUCGACCCCCUUUCAGGCAAAAUGAAUAAUCUUGUUUAAAGCCAAACAGAGCCAAACAGCUACCUACUAUUAAGUUUAAAAUUCAAUACUUACUUGAUCACCAACAUGUUUACAUUCCCUGCUCUCUAUGUCUCUUAUGAAACCCUGGUAACAUAGAACAAAACAUCACAUUGCUAUGAUUUUUUCUUUGCCUAUAUCUGAUAUGGUCAUGAUCAAAAUUUACGAGAACUCGGACUAUGAAAAUCAUGAAUUGGAUGGCAUUACUAGAUGACUUGUGCUUGCGUCGGGAAGAAGCAGAAACAAGAUAGACUAAAACAAAGCUAUUCAUUUGAAUGUGAAGUUUGUAAUGUUACAGUUGCAAAUAGGACAGUUGCUCCCAUUAUCUUAAAGCAAAAGAGUAACAUGCAAGUAAUAGGGUCGACAUAAAGAAGAAGAUCCCUUCCAAACCCUUCGCUCUAAAGGAUCACCAAAAAACCCUAGAAAGACGAGUAAUAACUCGUUGCAACUACCCAGAGAUCGAAUAUUUAGGAGAAAAGAGCACGAACUAACACAGCAACAAUCGAAUCGGAGAAGGGGGAAGAGAGGGGGAGAGAGAGAGAGAGAGAGAGAUCGAACCCUUUUUAGGCGUUAGCGGGGGAGGGGAUGAGGGGGAUCGGGGCGCCCCCGGAUUGGAUCUGCUUCGCCUUCGUCGUCUUCUCGAUCUCGCGGAUCCGCUGCAUCUGGAGCAUGCGCUCCAUGACGAGCUCGUACUCGCACUUCUCGUAGCCGUGGCGCUCGAGCUCGCACCGCCAUGGGAGGUAGAACUCGGCGGCGCGGCAGAGGUUGAGGGGGAUGAGGAGGUGGGCGCACUGGUCGCGGUAAGGGAUGGGCACCCGCGCCUCCACCAUCUCCGCUUGCGUCGCGAUCAUCGGCUUCGUCGACCCCAGCUUCACCUCCUCCGCCAUUGUUAUCGCACUCUCGAGCUUUCUCUCUCCUCCCUCCCUCUCUCUCUCUCUCUCUCCUCGAUCGCUUCCCCCGGGGUUCUGUAGUUGGGCUUGGGCUUGUCGGCUUCUUUUAUAUAUAGAAGAAACGUGGGCUUUUACAUGGCCCAUAACGAAAAGGUAAUGAGUCAUCUUAAGGCACGUGGACCAAUAAGGCCUGGUUAGCCAAUAAGAGCCUGGUUUAGUACUGUGCUUCGAAAAGCACUUAAUUAUACUUGGGCCUAAUUUGAUAAUUAUGCUAAAAGCAUUAUUUUUAGAUGGAAAAACUUCAAAUACCAUCCUUUGAUUUUGCGCUUUCUUAUUAUAGUAUCAUAUAGUUUAAAAUGUAUCACUUUUGAAUCCUGUAGUUUUGUUUUUCUCUUUUCGUUAUUCCGUUCAUCAAUUUUUUUGUUAAAUCAGUGACAACCAUAUAAUACUAAAAUAAAAAUUUAGUAAACUACAUGAUACUAAAGUGAAAAUUAGAUAGAUCAUAGGUAGAGUAUCUGAAAUUUUUUGUAUAUAAUUUAAUGAAAAGUUAACCGAGACGUUGGCGAAAAGAGAAAAAUGAAACCAUAUGGUACUAAACUAAUACACUUUAAACUACAAGAUACCAAAAUAAGAAAGUGCGAAACCACAUGAGUGCUAUUUAAAAUUUAUCUUUUUCAGAUUAUAGAAAGAAUGCCUAAAAUUUUUAAAGUGCUUGUAAUUUUUUUUAAUACAAUAAAAUUGUGGUUGCAUAAUUUGCAUUUGCAAGUUUAAAGUGUUAGAAGAGGAAAGAUACUGAGUACAUUUAAUUUACCGUAUUAUUAAACUCGACCUUGGUACACAAAAUUCAACUAGACCUUAUUUGGUACACAAAAUUCAAAACCAUUUCUGCCUUUUCCUCAUUUCGUCUUUAUUUGGAACAAGAAGUAUAUAAUAAUAAAAAUACGAUAACAAUAUAUUUUAUUUUAUUUUUUUGUAGAAUAUGUCACGUUGUGUAGAUGUAAGAAUUCCACAGAUCGUCGCAAUUUCAUUAUAAUAUAAUUUUUACGCUUCUACCGAAAAAUAGAAAAAUAGAAGCAUUUUCAAAAGCACUAAUUUUUUACAUUUAAAAUAUAUAAUUUUUAACAUUUUUAACUGUUCAAGUAUAAAGUGAGAUUCUUUCAAAACACCACCAAAUUCAUUCAAAUUCAUUCAAGUUAAAACUCUGCAGUAGAGAUCAAAUUCAUCCUAAAAUUUUCGUUCUUCUUCAUUCCUUUAAAAAAUGCAAUUUGCCCCUGCUGCGUAGAACACAUUUUUACUUUAUCACCCCAUGGUUCAAAAAAUUUGAAAAUUAAUCACACUCUGCUCUUUCAGAAAAUAGCAAAAAAAUUUGACCCAACCCCGAUCCAUUUGUACCCUUCAUCUCAUACAUCUAGGCUUCAUUUGACAUUACAAAAAAAAUUAUGCUCCAUACAACAAAACUAAAAAAAUGAUUGUUUCCAUUAAGAUUGCUAUAUUUUUUUCUAUAAAUCCCACAAAAAAGAGAGAAAAAAAAGGUAUAUGCUCAAUAGCAUUAAAUAGUCUUAAAUACCAAACAUACAAGUACCAAACAUGCUGUGAAUCCCUUCUUUGGAAAUAAAUUACAAUCUACAAAACACAACAAUUUAAUACCCAAAAGAGUAAUAACAUACGAAAUCAAUUCCCCCACUUUUACUUCUCUUAUUAUUCUCCACAUACAUUGAUAUCCCCCAUCUUUCAAACAGAACUGCCACUUUUACAUGAUUACAUCCAUCUUUGUUUGAACACUUGCUAUACCAGGGUAUACAUCUUUCCUGAAUCUGCAAAACUCUCUAUGGUGAAUCUCACCUAUUUACAAAAUACAAGAUCCAUUUCAUAAUCUUCAUUAGCUACAGCAACCACAUACAAAGAUAUUAUGGCUUAUGCAACUUUGUACACAUGUUUAAUAACAGAUUAAAAUACAAAAAACUCUUACGUAAAUAUCCAUCUUUUUACUAUUUUUCUUCUAACUUUCAAAACUCUACAUUUUACUUCUUUAAAAUUUCAAAAAUAUUUUUAAGAGAUUAUAACAUUAACAAAUAGGGUAAAAUAACCAAAUUAUUCUCACUUGCUCUAUAUGAAAAAAUAUAUAUAUAUAUAUUUCUAUCAUUUUCAAAGACAUUUUCAAUAUAAAUUAUAAAAAUAAAAGAAAUAGUAAUAAAGCACCAACGGAAGAGAUUGCAUUAGUUGAAAGUAAAAUGAGAAAGUAAAAUAUAAGUUGUUGAAAGUCAAAAGCUGAUAUUUACAGAUUUUUUUUUGUAUUUUAACCUUAAUUAAUUGAGUAAACAAAGCCAUGAAUAUAUAUAUAUAUAUAUAUAUAUAUAUAUAUAUAUAUAUAUAUAUAUAUAUACACUAUGCAGACAAAGAUUUAAUUAGUUUAAUCACAAGACAUUUCUUUGAGUUCCUUCAGUUCAGCAAACAAAACAAAGAUUAAACUAAAUACUAAUUUUCAGCGUUUGCAUUAUACUAAUAUGCAACAUUUUACCAUUUUCAUGCCAUAUUGAACAAUGUGGGAACUAACUCAGUGUGAUUUAUGAAUAAUUUACAAAGUAAAUGAAUUCAUUACCUAAUCUUAUGGUGGUAAACUGUAUAAAAACCAAUAAUACUACAAAGGUUUUAUAGAUGGAUAAUUAAAUGAGUGGAUCAGAAUCCUGGCUUGGUCCCCUCCUCAUGAAGAGGAGGUUACAGUAGAUCGCACAGUAUAAUCAGAGUCGAUCAUGUGGGGAAAGGAUCAUCAUUUCCAUUAACAAAAAUUAACUAAAAUAUGAUUCAGAAAAACGCAAUUACGACAUCGAUAUUUGAGAUUCUUAAUACAAAAAAUCAAAGAAAUAAACGAAUUCAACGAGGAGAAAUAGCAUAAGAGGGGAAAGGAUCAGAAUCCUGGCUUGGUUUCUCCUAGAAAGGAGAAACGAAUAAUCGCACAUUAUAAUCAUAGUCGAUCAUGUGGGGAAAGGAUCAUCAAAUCCUUCGAUUCACUCGUUAAACGAGUAAUCCAUAAUAAUCUCGAAAAGAAAUUAACGUAAAUCAACAAAAAAUAGCAAAAUUUGAGAGCAAGCAACGGAGAAACCUGUGUAAUUAUUUCUCCAAACGCAAAUUAACCAUUAAAAACCCUAAUCCAAAACCCUAGAUCUAGAUUGGGAACGAGAGAGGAGAGAGGAGAGAGGAGAGAGGGGAGAGGGGAAGAGUAAGGCUUGCGAAGUUGAUGCGGUGUAGUGAUGGUAUUUAUAGGGUUGGCGAGGGGAGCGAUGAGGAAACCCUAGGGGAGAAUCAGGGCUCGGGAGAGAAUCGACGCUCCAUGAUUUGCCACGUGGAUUACUCUGAUGAAGAGCUUCUGGAUCUCCCGGAUCCGACGGUGGAGAGUCAGGAGAGCCGACCCCGGGCGAGAAAUGCAGAACCUUCGCUCUGAUUUUAUAGUAAGGAUGAAUACGGCGGCGAAUAUCCCCGUUGUGUACAACUUGUAACUGAACUCGGCAACGAGAAAGCUUACAACGCCCAAUUGCCGACUUGAAGGAAACGUAACACAUUAGCACACUGGAGUCGGUGCCGAAACUCUGCAAACUGCCGACUUUGAUUCAGAGCAUCCGUUCACUCACUCCCCUGCAUUCGCAUUCUAAUUUCUACAACACCCCAAAGAAAAUAUUCAAAUCUUUUUAAACUCCUAGUAGUUUGAUUUUUUUAAUUUAAUUCAAAUUAUGUCUUGCGCUUAUCAAAAAAUUUCGACUCAAGAAACGAGUAAUAUUCCAAGCAUGGAAUGGGGCUACAUGGAAGAAAUUACAGAUUUAAUGAGAGAUACAAGCAAAUUACAUACACGAGAAUUGAAGUGGAAAAAAAAAGAGGAAAAAGAAAUAAAGAAUAUGAAAACUCUACACCUAAUCUACUGAUCAAUCACACACAACAGAGCCAGAAUCCACAUAACCAACCACGAAAUUCAUCUCAUCGACUCGAUGAAGCGAUCGAGAUCUCUCGAGACCAACAUGUUGGAUUUGAUCUCCUUGUCCUUAGCCAUGGUGUCCACUAUCUUGUUGGGAACCAGGCAAUUCCCUUCCCCAUACAACUUCUCCUGGAUUGUGGUGGAUUCAAGCAGGAGUUGAAGUUGCUGCUCCACCAGCAACGGAACCUUACCUCUCUCCUGCACAUAAAAUCAAAAGAUCACGACUUUGUUAGCUGAAGUACUGUUUGAAUAUAACUAUUCGGAUAAGCACAAAAAAUUACACGGAAGUAGAGGAAACUGAAAAAAAAACCAUGAUAAUUGCUGAAGAUACAAAGCCAAAGAUGCAAUUAAGAUAGUUUAUGAUUUGUCUGAUCUAUUAAAAUUACCUGGAUGGAGCCCAUGAGGCUCAAAAUACCAACUUGGGCCUGCAAAAAGCUGACAUACUUGUAGGCAGAUUGGAACAUCUCAGCAGUGUUCAUCUUAUUACCCCCAGGUAUUAGCUUCCCAAGCUCCUGGGUCUUCUCACUGAUCCUCUUCCUCCUCUCCCUCGCCGCCGCGCUCUGCGCGGACAAGCACCCGCUGCCCGCCUUCCUCUCCUGCAUCCCCACAGCUAACGGCGGUGCGGCCGCAAACUCCGAUAGGAAGUCCGACGAGCGACAACCGCCCAUCAUUGCCCCCGCAGCGAUGUGGCGGAUGUACGAACCGGGCUGCUCGAAGACGAGGUUGGACGGGCGAAAAAGAUCGCCGCAGCUCCUCGGUCGCUUCGGGCAUCGGUAGAGGUCGAAUUUGUCGCAUGGCGGGUAGAGGUCGGGGGUCAGAGCGAGUAUCGACGGCGCAGAGAGCGACGAGUGGCUGAGGGAGGGUAAGGGAACGGUUUCGGUUUCGGUUUCGGCAUAGAAGUAGCUUUCCGGCGACGAGUCGAAGAGGGAAUCGAUGGGGAACGUCGAAGCGUCGAUCGGGUCGCAGAAGAAGCCGAGGAGAGCGUCGGCUACCUCCGACUGCGGCUCGUGGAAGGCGCCGCCGAUCUCCGGAUUGAGGUGAGCCAGGGUUUCCCAACUGGACUGGUAACUCAAUGCCAUGAAUGCUGCAGUGAUCCUGAAAGUAGCAAAGCAACGAGCGUCAAGUCAAACAAAGAUUACACGCUUUUCUACUGUUCCAGCACCACUCCAAACUGCAUCAAACAAGACAAAAGAAGCAAAUAGUUAUGAUUCAAAGUACCGAACAAAUAAUGCUCUUGUUACUGCUACGUUACCAAAUUAUUGAAGCAUUUCACUCAAUUCAUGUUCUUUCUCACACUAAAACAAUUGACACGCACAGAGAGAGAGAGAGAGAGUGUAGUACAUAAACAUACCAACCGAGAGAUGUUUUCGAACUUGUCUUUGGAUAUGGCUAAACAGUUGCCGAACGAGUCUCUCUCUCUCUCUCUCUCUCUCUCUCUCUCUCUCUUACACACACACACACACACAUACAAAACACAGCACAUAAGAUAAUUUAAUACUAAGAAAUUAUUUCCGUAACUUAUGGGAGGGGUCGCGCUCUACACUGAAAAAAAUGACCGGGGAGACCCUUGGAUUACAGGCUAUUUCGAAAUGCUCCCUCAAAUUACUUAAAUUUAAUUAUUUUGAAUUGAGUGAUUCUAGUUAAAAAAAAUAAAUAAAUAGAAAAUUUGUCAAAUAUGUGUAAAUAAAAGUUUAAAAGGGAGUGAUUUCGAAAUAUCUUGUAGUCGAGUGGGGGUUCGUACAAAAUUUACUCCUCUUACACCAACCAAUCACAACCGCCGCCCACGGACCGGGCGCGUGGCCGACAUCCGGCCGUUGGUGCGACGGUUGGGGACACGUGGACGGUGGAUAUUCGACUCCAUAUUAAUCUCUCUCCCUCGUAACAAACCCGAAUCAUACGCCCCCAUUACUCCCUCUUUCUCUAACUGCCGCGCCCCACGCUCUCUCUCUCUCUCUCUCUCUCUCUUUCCCGCGUUAACUUACUGAAUUCGGAUCAGAGCCGUUCACGUUGGAAAUGGACGGCUGUUGAUCCAUUUAGGAUGGUUUUUUUUUUAGGGUUUCCCGCUCGAUUUGGCUACACCGAGACCCGAAUUGGUAAAUUUGUAUAGAAACCCCUCAAUUAUGUGCCGUUUGAAAUCGAUCCUGAACAUGAUAAUAUAAUAUAAUUAAGGGUAAAUUAUACUUUAGCCCCGGUCUUAAUUAUCCCCCUGCAUUAAAAAUUACAUUAUUUAUAUCCUCAUCUAAAAUUGAUUAAAAAAAAGCUAAAAAAUUGAUCAAUUAGGUCGUAAAACUUUACUAAAAUGAGUUGACAUAUUACGUUAUUCCAUAUCUCAAUAAAUAGCCAAUUUACAACUCAAAAAAUUAUAAAAAAUUUAGAUAAAGGAGAUCUCGCAAUUUAUUCAAUUUUUUAUAAUUCUGUUGUAUUACUUCUAGAUAAAUUUAACUGCAAGUUUAUUUUUAAAAAGUUUUAUAGCGGAAUUCAAUAAUGUAAUUCUUAUGUAUGGAGAAUUGAGACAAGCGCAAAAGUAUAAGGGAGGUUCUUGAUAAUUAAGCCCAUAAUUAAAUAGUGGUACUCAAAAUAUGAGAUGGUUUCACUUAGGAUCUCAAAUUUUAAUUUGUCGCGAUUUAUUUGAUUAAAUAGUAAUUUACUGCUGAUGUUGCAAGGAGGUGAAAUUUUACUUAUUGCCACAUCAUCAAUUAUGCACAACACUACCAUAUCACUGUCAUAUAAAUAACACAUCACUAUUCUGCUAACUAGAUUGUAUUGUGAGAUUUAAUUGCAAAAAAAUCAUAAUGUUUGAGCUAUAAAUUACAGCAAAGUAUGUAAAUUUUGAAACGAAGUAUCACAUGCCAAAUAAUUUGAGGACCAAAAAUGUAACUUAGCCUUAAGUAUUUGAUAGCCUUGAUUACAGCAGAAUAAAUCAAGAAAAUUCUUACAAUGUGGAUAUGUGAUGCUCUAUAUUCACAACCUGAAGUUGAAAAAGUAGUAGUUAUCUUACAUUUUAUAGCAUGAUCAAGCAGUAAAGAAGUAUACCUUGCUUCUUGUGUAAUGAAGCAGUAGAAGCUGCAACUAUCAGUGUUUUCAAGUGUCAGCAGCAUCACCAAAAAUCGCCGCAACUGCAAUGCCCGUCCUUGAAAUGAUGAAACCUAUUAACAUCUCGCACCACGAUGACCCUUCUCGUAACCAGUGUAAUGUAUUUAUUACCGGGUGACAAUCUCCGCAAACGCGCAGGUUUUUCGUGAUAACAUAAAAUGAAGGGCAUAAGCCAGGAACCAUAGCAUUCCAAGCGACGACAUCUCUUUUAGACAUUUUAUCGAACAAUCGGUGAGAAGCAUCUAAACACCCACAUUUCAUGUACAUGUCUAUCAAAGCGGUAGACACAAAGAGGUCUUGCAUGGUUAUUUAUGUCCACUCCCUUCUCCAAAGCAAGCAUACUCACGAACGCUUGGAGUACGAGAGGGAACGUGAACUUGUUCGGCUCAACUCCUAAGUCGACCAUCUGAUAGUAUAACUCAAUCGCCUUAUCGAAGUGACCACUCCAAGAAUAAGCUCUGAUCAGGGCAUUCCAAAGAAACACACUUGGUUGGGAAAUUUUAUCAAAAACAUCGCGGGCGAGCCCGAUUUCGCCGCACAAUACGUGCGCAUAAGCGAUUUCUCCAACAAAACCGAAUUUGCGAUAUGGGUAUUGUUCCUCAGUAUUCUAUUGAUGAAUCUUCUUACCCUUUACGAGUGACCUCGAUCGAAUGCAAGCUUCGAGGAGCGCGCGAUACGCGUCGACAUCCUCCUUGGAGUUGUUGCUGUGAGAAUUGUUGGGAAGCGAAGUAGUAGUAGCAACGGGGAUGAUACUAAUCUCAUUGCUAUGCUGUGGUUCUAUUUCGACCGUUGGAAUUUAAAUUUGAGCAGGUGGAGGAGGGGAGGCGUGUGAUGUGCGAAGGCCUUUUUAAUUGGGCCUCAAACAAACACAGGAUAGGCUCUUAAUGGGCCAUUUCCUGGCCUAGGCCUCUAAGUAGUCACUGUGAAACCAACCAACCGGCUUUGCUGAGCAGUUAGUAGCUGUUGACUUAAAGGCGCCAACAUCUUGUAUCAUGAUGGGAGGUUCUGUAGGGCUGAGUUUUAUUUGACCUAGCAGUUGACAUGAUUGGAUCGAGUCGUGUUCAAAGUGACGAGAGGUCAAAUUGAGCUGAUUCACAAUCGAGAUCCGUAGACGCUGUGCCUGUACGCUUUAAGAGGCCGUUUGAUUGCAUGUAGUUGCAACUGCACUACAGUUGUAACUACAUGCAUAUACAAAUUCGAUGAUCGGUUUGAUGUAUUUAACUCUAAAUGCUGCAGUAGAAACUGCAGGAAGAGGCUCAAUCGCAUUAGUUGGAGAGAGUAGUUUUAAACAAAAGCUACGCUUAUCUCCCUAAUUAUUUUUUAAAUAAAAAAUAUAUAGUUUUUUAUAUUGGAGAUAAUAUUACCAUCAACCAAGUUGUUUUCGAUGAUAUAGUUUCCAAAUCGACGAUCGGCUCCGUUAGACUUGAUCUACACAAUCGAAAGUAUUUGGAAACUAAAUUUCAGAUUUUUUCAACACCAUUUGACUAGUGAUCAAAAGAUCUCAAAAUUGACAAUUUUAAUGGCUGAUGUGAUGUGUUUGAGAGUUUAACGAUGUAAAACAAUCCAAAUCCGAUGAAAUUUUAUAGAAAUUUUUUUUCACUAUUUAGAGUAAGAUCAGUAAAUCUGAUUUUGAAUUUAAAUAUUUUAUCAUUAAUUUUUAUGAGAUUUUUAUUUUUAGCCGUUUAAUUUUAGACUACUUGUUUGACGGGUAAAUGGUAACGAAAAAUUAUGAAAUUUAGUUUCUAAAUACUUUUAAUAGUGUAGAUCAAGUCUAACGGAGCCGAUCGUCGAUUUGGAAGCUGCAUCAUAAAAAAACAACUUGGUAGCACGGAACCCUCCGUGCUACCGAUAGUAUAGUAGCCUAGCUAUAUAUAUAUAUAUAUAUAUAUAUAUAUAUAUAUAUAUAUAUAUAUAUAUAUAUAUAUAAUGAUAAAUUUUUAAACAUUAUUUUUCAACUGUAUGCAACCAAACAAAUUAUUUAUAGUUACAGCGGUUUCUACUGCAUCCAACAAAAUAUGAUACAUGUAAUUGCGCUUACUGCAUUUUCAACUGCAUGCAUCUCUAAUUAUCAUUAUAAACAUUAUUUUUCAACUGUAUGCAACCAAACAAAUUAUCUCUAGUUACAGCGGUUUCUUCUACAUCCAACAAAACAUGAUACAUGUAAUUGCACUUACUGCAUUUUCAACUGUAUACAUCUCUAAUUAAUUAUGCCGCACUUAUAAUUACAUCGAAUCAAGUGACCCUUAAGUGAAUCGAUUGCACGCUCUUUAAUAGCUCAAAAUUUUGAAAUUAAUAGUCAGUGUCACCGAUCCUACAGUAGCUACAUAAUCAGUUUGGUUGUUGAGCAAUUGUUGCACUUUGCGCUUUCUAUGAAUAAACAAGGAAGAAAAUUUGUAAUGCCUCUUGCUUUAAGAUUCGAGUUGGUGGUAUAUCCACCAACUUAGAAAUUCACAUGCAUGUAGUUAAGCACGCAUUAGAGCGUGACAUUGAAUCCAAAUAUGAACUCAUCAAAAUGCACGUUUCUCAAGCAGUGUUACGUACUUAGGAGUUAGGACACCAAAACUAUGACCUCGCACCAAUUGUCCCUAGCGCAAAUGGCAAAAAAUUUGAUGAUUGAUAUUCGAGAUCCCAAAUUUGAAUCCUACUUGAUUCACAUAAUCAGAUCAUGCUCUAUGCAUGCAUGGUGUACGAUUAUUGCUUCGUAUUAGACUAAACAAUACGUUUUACUAAUGUUAAUUAUUAAACUUGCCGCAAAGUUUAGAUGGUGGAAUUUGGUUUUUCCCAAAAAAAAUUCCUGAAAAUAGUUUUUAAAUUGGAAAAUUAAAGCACUUUCUGUUCGUUAGGUUUUAAAAAAAAUAAUUUAUCUUCUUUUUUUUUUCAGAUGUCAUGAAAAAGUAGUACUUUUAAUUUUCGAUUUUUUUAUCCAUGAGAAACUAUAUUUCUAAUAAAAAAUAAUUUUUUAAAAGAAUAAUUUUUUAUGUUUUUUCAAAAAACUAAACAGCUCGUAUGUAAAUACGCGGAAAGGUCUCAAAGUAUCAAGUAUUAAGCUCUUAUAGAUGGAUUAAUUAACCCAAGUUUUGGCUUAAAUUAAUUAACCCAAGUUUUGGUUUCUUAUUUUGAUUGACCAUAAUUACUUAAUAUUCUGACCAAGUAAAAUCAAUCAAGAGUAAACAAAACUUAAAAAUAAUAUACAUUAAGAUCAUCAUAUGCAAGUCAAUUGGUGUAGACACAUAGACUUUGUUGUUGACCUUGACCAUGAAUAUUGUAUAUAAAUAUAGGAACUUAGGAAGCUACUUAAUUAGAUGCUACAUAUGUACUCUUCUUUUAUAUUAUUAUUACUAAUUAAGCUUUGUUUUGAUUAAAGAAGGUACAUUUGGUAGGAUAUCACAUUUAACACUUUUCGGUCUUAUUUGGAUGCAUGAAUAAAUUAUCCGAUAAUAUUUUAUUUCAUAUAAAAUUUUUUUAUAGUGAUUGAAAUAUUGAAGUGUAGCCAAAUAUUUAGAGUGUAAUAGCGUAUUCGUCCUUCAAAUUAUUUUUUAAAAUCAAAUAAAUUACUUUGUUUGUAAAAUAUGCUAGCUAUCCUAUCAAAUUAUGGAAGCUUAAGAUCUUUCAAUAAACAAAAAUCAAACUCCCAUGUACCAAUAACACAAAUAAAUUUUCAUACCGAAUGAGUUAUAAUUAGAUACCUUAUUCUGACAUCCGAGCAUGGCUUUAGAUUCCCUUUGAGUGUAUAUAUAUCUUGCUCAGUAUAUCUCUUUGUUUACUCAAAAAAUUAGUACAUUUGAUAGAUGAGAACUAUAAUUUACUUUAAGUCAUAUGUUCAAAAUAAGAUAAAAUCAUCAACAUAUCUUUUCAGAAUAGUUUAUAGUAUUUAAUAGAUGAGGAGCAUGCCCAAACUUUCAGUAAUAUUGUAUUUGACCUUUGGAUUAUUUUCUCAGAAUAAGAUAAAUCAUAUCGCACAUAAAAUAUGCUACCUAUCAAAUUAUAGAUACUAAGAUAUUUCAAGGAGUAAAAAUUAAUUUUUUAAACUUUUAUUUAUAAAAAAAUAAAAUUUAAUGUCAAUAAGUUAUCACUGAAUAACCACAUUGUAUCCAAACUGGACCUCAAUUAGAUGUUUUUUUUUUUUUUUUUUUUGAGGGUAUAACUAUUUUGGCCACCUAUUUUCAACCAAAUACGCAACGUGCACGUGGAGAAUAUAAAUUCAAAGUCAACUACUUUUCUGAAGUGCUUCGUGAGAUUCUAGUUUGAGAGUUGACUCCGCGAUUAAACAAAAAUAUUGAAACAUAAAUGCAUUGAACCAUUUCAUGAUCCUUUCUCUUUGGUGCUUUGUUGUCACUUAUUCAAUUGAUAUGGAUGCUCACAUUAAUUGUACUUGAAUAUAUAGUAUAUAUGUUAUGUUGUUGGGGUUGUUAAUGGGUCAUAUUCCAAUCUAUAGAGGAGACAAAGGUUACUUUGACUCCUCUAAAUGAUUCAUGUAAAAAUAUAAAAAGUAUAUAAUUAAUAUUCAAGCCAAUAUAAUUCAUCAAGCUUUAACUUGAUGAAUUAUAUAUAGGUCCCAUGUCCCCUUUUUGGAUUUAAUUUAAUAGAUUCUCGAAGGACUUAUAUGGAUUCUGCAUUGGGCUUACAAACAAGUUUUUUUUUUCAAAAAAAGAUUGAAUAUAAAACAGAUGAUCAGUAACACAGUUUGAUAUUUAUGUACGUACAUGCGUUUGCACGUAUAUUCCCAAGCAGUAUGUUAAAAAAAAAAAAAGGGUUAAAAACAAAAAGAACUUGCCUACAUUACGAACAAUUUUGAGUCGGUUAUCCAACUUUUCAAAAUUUUGAUUUUACUAAUCAAUCUUUCAAUUUGUUUGAUUUGAAUGAAUCAACAACUUUAGUUAAGUGUAUUUCACGCAAUUUUUGUAUCUAUAAAUUUAUUAAAAUAAUUAACUUACAUUUUGAAACUAAAGUGCCGUUAACCGACUCAAAUAAAAUAAAUUGAAAGGUUAGAUAGUAAUAUCUAAAUUUUUAAAAGAUUAGAUAGUCGAUUUAAAAUGAUCUAUAUUUUAGACAAGUUCUAUAAUUUUUUCUUAAAAAAAAACAAACAAAUCAAUAUAGUAAAUUUUUCUAAAAGGAGUGUAUGUUAUACAUCUGACUCAUAAAAAAGACGACGUAUAAAAAAAAAUCUCACUCAUUAAAUGGAUGAGUGUAAAUCAUAUAUACAUUCCGAAAUGAGAUGUAUGGGUAUUUUUUUACUUCUAAAAUUUCGUAUAUACACUUAAAAGCGUCUCUACUAUUGUAUGAAAAGAAAUAAAUAAUUAAAUAAUACUUGACUAAAGUCAAGAUCAAGAAAGCAAGUUUAGAUGCGAAAUUUCCUACCAAAAUAAGCAUGGAGAAGAGUGGGAACACAUGUUCCAAGGAAAUGGUCAUGCAAUGAUUAAUUUAAGAUGAUUUAAUGUUUUGAUAACUUAUGGAUUAUUAUAUUAUUACAUCCUUAAAAAGUAUCAGAAUGGUUAAGUAACACGGAAAAACAGUUUAUUUUCAAAACUAGGUUGGAAUUUGAACUCAGAAUCUCUUAUAAUAUGAAGAAAUGCGUGCGAAACAAUCAUCCAACUUCAAAAAUUUAAGUUGCCCCAAAAAAGAUAUUUGUAAUAUCUUUAUUCAACAAAUUAAUUAAGAAAAUAUGAAUUAAUUGUAGCUCAAAACAAAUAGUUGGAGAAUAUUAAGUGGAGGGUCAAAGGAUGAUAAUUGGAUUAAUUGCUCUUAUUAGAAAUAAUGGAGGGUCAAAAGAAAAGGGAUCGAUCAAGGAAAUUACACCAAGAAAUUGUGAUUAUAAACCGGUCAAUUAAUGGAGAAAUUACUACUCUAUUGAAUAACAUUUUCUAAUAAUAUAUAAUAAUAUAAUAGGGCGAUACAAGCAAAACAUCAAUAUUUUGGGGGUCUAUAUACAAAAAGCAACUCAUAAAUAGUGUUUACACAAAACACACGCAAAUGCAUAAAUAUUUUGCUUCUAAGCUGUUUACCAUGUAUUAUCUAUUUUGCUAUCUUUUUUGUCUAUAUGUUAUUGACCCGUUUGAUUCGUUGUUUGUAAUAUUCUAAUAAUUUUUUAUAUUUUUAUUAAAAAGAUUUAAAUUAUUAUUAUUUAAUUCAAAUUGAGUAGUUAUAAAAAGUGUUAGGAAAACAGUUAAAUUAUUGUAGAUUCCUAGAUAAUAGAAAUACUAAAUGAUCGUAUAUUAGAAGAUAUUUUUAUUUUCAUAUUUUAUGAGAAUUAUUACUUGUCGAUUUAUUAAUAAGAAUAUACUAGUUUUUAACAAUCUUUCAAAUCGAAUGGAUUGAUAAGUUAAUAACAAAUUUUUCAUUUCAAAUACAAAAUAUACAAUAUUUUUGAAAUAUUAUAAAUGUUGAAUCAAAUGGUAGAUCUCAAUGUGUUAUAUAUAGUUCAUCGAAUAUUCACAUGCAUGCACUGUCAAAAGUGCUACGCUUGUUUAUGCCUCUUUCAUGGUCCAAAAAGCUUUUCCAAAAGAUAUUAAUCAACCAACCUGUUAAGAAAUAUAAGUAGAGCCAUAAAAAAUGGCAUAACUACUACUUGACAAAAAGUCAUUUUCUUCAAAUUAUUUAUUUUUUUUUUUUGAAAGUCAUACAAUGCCAAGAAAACCCUAGAAAAUAUUUUUUUUGACUUUUUUUUUUUUGUUUGUUUUUCCAAUCAUAACCUUACUAGUUGAUUCAGUUGAAUGUCACCUUCGAACCUGCGAGGACACAACAAGAUUUGUAGCUUUUAGAGUGAGAAAAUAGUUUAUUUAUAUAUAUAUAUAUAUAUAUAUAUAUAUAUAUAUAUAUAGUUAGUUAGUUAGUUAGUUUUAGAUUAAUUAGAUGAACAAGCUACAGUAGACAUGACUACAUGGGUGUUGCUCAGGGUGUAUUUAAAUGCUUUUUAUUAAUAAAGUAUUUGAUUAUUUAUCUUCUUCAUCCUCCAAUAUCUCUUCUUCAUAUUAUUUUGUUUUAUUUUUAAUUCUGUGUUACAUAAUCAGUAUUAGCAUAAAUACCAGUUCCAACGAUUGGUAUCAAAGCAAAUCAUGCUUCCAACAAUUGGUAUCAGAGCUGGAAAGUAUCAUGCGACUUCUUAACAAGACGACAAUAGAUUCAAAAAGAAUAUAGAACCAAUGUACCGGAUAGCUACGUUAAAGUCAAGCAACUUGUAGCAGAUUGACGGAAGUGACGUUCAAGUGAAGCCGAAGCAAAAAAUUGCUUCGAAAAAGUUAGCCUCCACACGACACACAAGAGAAGGUGGUUGUGACUCUUGACAAAAAGAGAGCGAGGAGAGCCCGUGAAGAGAUAAAAAAAAAACUUGACCAAAUAACCUGAAGGGCCAGGCAAGCAAGUCGAAAUACGAAAAACUUGGCUAAAUCUCGAUAGAACGUCAAUAUAUCAGAAAGGUACAUGUCUGAAACUUAAUUUUUAAAUUUUUAAAUUUUGUUAUGAAUUUAGAUUGGUUUAUAUUCAACCUGAACUUUAAAGGAUGAAAAAUCAUGAUCCGAUAUUUUUAGAAUCUCAAGAUUUGUGGGGUGUAGGGGAGAAUAAAAAUUAUAAAAAAGAAUUUAGUAAAGAAGAUAGAGAAGUUCUAUCAUUUAUUUUUCAAGCAGUAGAUUUGUCAUUGGUUGAAAAUAUUUCAACAGCAAAGAUAGCACGUGAAGCGUGGAGAAUGCUAACAAAAAUUGGAGAAGAAGAUUUGCAGGAACAGAAUGAAAUUUAAGAAGAAAAAAAAUUCAACCCAACAGCGAAUAUAUAGAAGCCCUAAUUUGCAAAGAAUUUUGGAAGAAAAAAUCUAAUCAAAAUUAUGAAAAAGAUCAAAUUCGUGAAAAGUAUGUUGAUGAUCAAAACGGUGCAACUUAGAUCAACGAGAAAGUUCACAAUGACGAUAUGAUUAAAAAAUUUUCUGUCAAUGAAAUAAUUACGCAUCAAAGAGUAACAUGACUCUUUUUAUAAUGUGAAUGAGGAAAAGAAAAUAGCAGACCAAAAUAUAGAAUUUGAAAUACAAAAUUUUGGCAUGGUGCAAGAUGUACACAUUGAAACCAGUAAAUCCAAAAUAUCAAAUCCAAAUUUCUAUAGGAACCCACAUUUCUUUAAAGAUGACGUGAGUAAUCAGGAUUACAAGUGGCAAAGAUUCUGUGUAUGACAACAUUGGACAUUCUUUAUGCUGUACAAUUCAAACACGAUGACAAGAACAACGAUGGAGAUUGCAAAAUCAAAUGCGCAUUUCAAAGAAUUUACGAUUCGAAGAUAAAAUUUGGAUUAAGGGAGGAUGUUAAAAUAAUAAUCCAAACUUAAUUAAAAUAUAAUUAGAGAUAAGUUUAAAUCUUUUAUUUGAUUAUGAUUAGGAUUUGUAGUUAUCUAAAGUAAAAAUUAGAUUUAUCAUUUGUUAUGACUUGAUAGCUAUAUAAAUAUAGUUAGGUAUGGAUUAAUUAGAUAAAUAUAUAAACAAACCAUAGUAGACAUGACUGCAUGAGUGGUGCUAAGGUUGUAUUUAAAUAUUUUUUAUUAAUAAAGUAUUUGAUUAUUUAUCUUCUUCCUCCUUCAAUAUCUCUUCUUCAUAUUAUNAAAAUUUUAAUUAAAAUAUAGAUUCACAGUAAAUAUCUUUCGGUUGGCAAAAAUUUGGAUAAGUGUAUUUUUUUUCUAUUUUAGAGAUAAAUAGAAAUUAAAAGUUUGUUUAAUUACGUUAUUUAUUUUACAUAAGGAAAGAGAAAACAAUAUAUUUUUCCCGCCAAAAAAUGAGUUUGUCGACAGACCUAAAUUUGAAAUACGUGCUUUUAUAUAUAGUAUAGAUAGUAUAGAUAUAUGAAAGUAUCUGCAAACUAAAUUUCAUAAAUUUUCGGCAUCAUUUAUCUAUCAAACGAGUAAUCUAAAAAUGAACGGCUGAAAAUAAAAAUGUCCUAAAAAAUAAUGAUAAAAGAUUUGAAUUUACGAUCAGAGAUACUGAUCUUACUUUAAAUAGUGAAAAAAAAUUUCUUUAAAAAUUUCAUCAUAUUUAAAUUGUUUUAUACCGUUAAAUUCAUAAACGCAUUACAUCGACCAUUAAAAUUGUUAAUUUUGAGACCUUUUGAUCACUAGCUAAAUGAUGUCGAAAAAUUAUAAAAUUUAGUUUUCAAAUACUUUUAAUAGUAUAGAUCAAGUCUAAUGGAGCCGAUCAUCAAUUUGGAAGCCACAUCAUUGAAAACAACUUGGUAGCACAGAGGCCUCCGUGCUCACUGAAAACCAAUCAUCUCACAUUACUCCGCUCAGAAGCAGUCCUAUAUCCCAUAUAUUGUUUUCUACUAAAUUGGUCUUUUUAAGUAACAUAAUAUCAGAGCCCAAAUACGAGCCGAAGUGUUGAAUAUUAGACUAAGAACUAAACUACAUUAUGUAGAAAUAACUUUGGAGCAGUUUAUAUUUGAUGCUUUUGGGUGGCAAUCAAGCUCGUUUAGCAUGCAUUAAUUAUCUUUGAAUAAGAAAAAUCAAAACAUGAUUUUAUUUUUUUUUUAAAAAAAGUCAAGAGUAUGUGUGCAUCAUCAAGUACAAUUACUUUUACAAAUUUUGCAAGGCUCUCUUCUAGACCUCCAAUAAUUUGGACUUUAAAAAGUUCUAAUCAAAAGGACAAGGACUAACUUACUAGAACUUUGAAGCAAUUUUGUUUGGACUUCAAAGAUACUAAUGGAAAGUACUAGGAUCAUCUCAUUAUUAUUAUUAUUAUUAAAUUUUAAUUUCUAUUUAGAAAUGAAUUCAAUUAGAAAUGUAAAACAAUAAGACUUUGAACUCGGGAUCUCGAAUAUCAACUAUCAAAUCUUUAGCCAAUUGCGGUAGAUACAGUCAGUCAUCUCAUCAAAAUUUUGAAGUAGAGAAAUGCGCUGUAAUCUCUACAACCCUUAUAUGUGGAUGCUAAGGCCUUAUCAAUUUUUAUUUUUUUUUACUAUUAUAGUAAAUGAUAAAGCGAUAAAACUAGUAAAGAAAUUAUAGCUAUUGAAUCGUUGUUGUCGUUGUUAAAUUAUAACUCAUUUUGAAUUGUAAUCGUGGCACUCUUUAUCUAAUUUGAAAUUUUUGGACCAAGUAACUUACCACCAUAGCUAUGAUAAAUAAGCAAAGACUCUAAAUUUUAGUACUUUUGCAAAUAAAUUUCUAAACGUAAAAUUUUGAUAAUUAGCUUUUUAAAAAAACUUUAUCAAUUAAUCUAAUUGAUCCUUCUCCUUCAGUAAAGUUAUUAAUUGAAUAGUUAUUUUGACCAUACGCCUGGUAUAUGGUUUCGUAUAACUUUAUAAUAUAAUGCAAAAGAAAAAUUAUUUUUUCUACGACAACUAUGAUAAUUAAUUAAGUAUCAAGAUCAAAAUAUAGUAUGAGCGUAUCUUUUUUUUUUAAUUAUUAUUUCUUUAUGUGUUAGAUUGAAAAAAAAUUUUAAGUAUUUUAAGUCUCUAAAGUAGUAGAUAUAAUAAAAGUGAUCAAAAUAAUUAUAUAAUUUAUACAUUUUAUUAAAACGAGGUAAUUAAUCGAAAAUACAAGAACUUUUUAGCUUGUAAUUAAUUAAAGAACAAGAAUAUCUUUUUAAAAUUUUAGAAAUUUUUUUUUGAGAGAUAAAUAACAUGCUACCCGCUUUGUUUAUUUCGUUUAGAAAUAAACUUAGUUAAAAAUAUGAAUCAACUAGAAUUUAAAAUUAGAACUUCAGAUACUAACUGUAAACUCCUUUGACACUUGCACUACAGACGGCCAGUAAAAUUUUAUUCAAGCUGUUCCAGGAGGUGCCUUAAUAACUUUUUUUCGUUUUCGCUGUGACUUUGUACCCUAUCACUGUAGCUAUCAUAGUUUAGUACCUUGUAUACAGAUGUUCCAAGUUCCAACUGCCUCAAUUAUCAAGUGCAUUUACUGCCAACUUUACUUUCUGAGUUUGUGUUAUCGCUUUGGUCGACACGUACUACUGUAUAUCAAUCGCACAUUACAAUAAAAUUAGAUUAAAGAGACACAUAUUUGAAAUAUUUUUGUGUAAGUAUUCUAUUUAUGUCAAAAAUUUUUUAAAAAAUUUUUAAGAUUUAAAUAUAAAGCCCAAUCCAAUUAAAAAUAAAAAGUUACUUUACUCAACCCACCCCACCCAACCCCUUCGGUCCGAUUACAAAUAGAAAAGAAAAAAAAAAGAAAAAUCGAUCACUAUCUUCCCUUCUUCCCUCACUCAAUCCGCUGAAAUUCUAGACGAAAAGCCAUUUUUAAAUAAGUGUUGGUAAAUUAAUAGCAUUCUUUUUGGGUUAUACCAAUAUUUUUAAACUGUCACUAUAUACCUAGCGAUCCCACAUAUAGCAAUAUUUUUUAAAAGUGUCGGUAAUUUAGCCAACACUACUUUUUUGACCUGUACCGAUAUUUAAAAGUAUCGCUAUAUCCCGUUUUUGUUAUAGUGACAUUAUAUUAUUUAUUAAAAAUUAAUUUCAUAUUUUUUAGAAAAAAUAUAAUAAAAAUAUUUUUUAAUAAUCAUGAUCUGACAAAUAAAUUUAAAAAAAUAAUUUAAUUGGUUGAUGCUGCCAGAUCAGUAAUAUUACUGAUGCUUUCUCGAUUUUUUUCACUUUCAUGGUCCCUAAUCAAUCGUGUUUGUGCUACAACAAUUAAUGUGCACUAGUAAGGCGUACAAAAUUUGCUUGAAAAUAAGAUUUUAAAUUAUAAAAGACAAAAUCUAGUACGUAUAAAAAAUAUUAUAAGAAAAUGGUAAAAUAAUUAAAAUAGUUUCUUAAAUGAAUUUUAAGUUUUUGAGGUUAAUGUCAAAUAAAUUUCCUGUCUCUUAAUUUUAAUAUUUUUUUAGAUUUUUAAUUACUUUGUGUGACAUGAAUUUAUUUUAUUUUUACUACUAAAAAUCCAACAAGAAUUGUCUAAACCCUCCAUAGGUUCAUCUAAAAAUAUUUUAAUUCAAAAAAUAAAAGUUUAAAAAAUAAUCUGGCAUUAAGUUCAUAAAGUGAAAAUUUAUUAAAAGAAGCCAUUAUAUUUUUUCUCUUGCAAUUUUUUUUUAAUAUAUAUUAAAUUUUCGUAACUAAAGGGUCUGAAAAGGUUCAGACCCGCUAAAUUCUGAGGAGAGCCUAAUUACAAUGCUCAUUCCAAUUAAGUAGAGAGAUCCGAUACCUACGUAGUACAACUGUAUCAAAUAUUUUAUAAUAAUAUAAUUAAUUAUUUUUUUAUAAUUUAGAAAUUUUUGAACUGUUUUUUGUUUAGCUAUUUUAAAUAGGUUAAUGAUGAUAUACGUGUAAAGAAAUAGCUAAUUAUUUGUAGGUAUUAAUUAAUUAAAAUACUUAAUCAAAACAAAAUUUACAAUUUUUUAUAGGUAGAUAUGUGAAAAGAUAAUUUUCAAGAAUAUUUAAUUAAAUAAUUUUAUCACUACAUAGGUAAUUAAAAGAAAACAAAUUAUAGAAACUUAUCAACAAGUUUGAUAAUUUUAUAAUUAGGACUAUAUAUAUUCAAAAAGUAAAGUAACUAUAAUAAUUUAAAUAAUUAUUUUUUAAGAAAAGGACAUAAAACAAUAUUCAUAAAAGAAUUGGAGGUCAAACUAUUAAAAUAAUUUAAAUAAUGAAUGAAUGAAUAAAAUAAUAGAAGAACAAAAAUAACACGUGUCGUCUUAUGGUUACAUUAUAAUUAAUUAAAUAAAUAAUCGUAAAGGGUUAGAAAAACACGUGUCGCCUUGUAGCACGUCCCAACGCUCUAUUCAUGUAAUAAGAAGAGAUAGAAAUGUGUUUUCGCAUGAAAGAUUCUAUUAUAUAUCAGCAACAUCACAUCAUUUAUUAACAGUUAAUUAUAUUUUUUCUAUUAAAUAAAAAUAUAAUAAAAAUAUUUUUUUAUUAAUUAUUAUGAGACGAAUAAAUUCAAAAAUAAUAAUAAUUAAUUAGUAACGCCACAUAUAUCUAUAUCUACCUAUACAUUAUUCCUCCUAAAUUGCCACAUGACAACAUAUCUAUAUCUACCUAUACAUUAUUCCUCCUAAAUUGCCACAUGACAACAUUUCCUUCAUUUGUUGAGUGUGGGCUCCACCUCGAACCGGAUUAAAUUUUCCAUAUAUUUUCAUCUUCUUUUGCUUAAACGAACCAAAAUUUUUUUUUUCUUUAUUUGAACCGAACCGAUUAUUAUUGAGUGUGGGCUCCCCCAAAGUGGCUCAAGUCUUCCACAUGUUUUUCUUUUUUUUUGCUUGAACUGAAUAUGGUUUCAUCUUUGUUUUUACUUGAACCGAAUCGGAUAGAUCAACCUGUUAUAUUGGGUCAAGCUGGCCAAACUAUGCAUAUAUAUUUUCAUCUUUGUACUGGAUUUUUCUUUUUCUUUUUCUUUGCUUGAACCAAAUCGAUCACUGUCGAGUAUGGACUUCACCUGGAAUCGGUUCAAGUUUUUCUUUUUUUUUUUUCUUGAACUGAAUCGAAUUUUUCUUUUUUUGUUUGAAUAGAAUCGAGUCACAUCUCUGCAGUGGGUGUGACUGGUCCUUUUUCUCUUUCUUUUACUGUUAUCUUCAUUUAUCGAUAAGAUAAAUCUUACCUUUAGUUUAUCGGCGUUUUUUUCAUUGCCGUUUUUUCUUUCUUUGUCACCAUUUUUUUUUUUCAAUUAUCGAUCCAUCGCAUCACACGGAUUCCUACACCAGUCGACGAUACAGCAGGUGCAUCUUAAUUUUCUUUUCCUUUUGGCAGCCACUCAAUUAUUGAAAUGUCGAAAAUUUGUUUAUGGGAGAAGCGCUUUUGCAGCCGCUCAAUUAUCGAGUGCAUGUACUUCUCACUUUUUGCGACAAUCAUGGAGUGCAUGGCCACCACAAAUUAAUAAAGAGAAACUGUUACGUUCCAAUCAUGAUGAGACAUACCAAGUACUAAUUGACGUUUCAAAUCCCGGGCCACUAUUUCGUUUUUGGAAUUUUAGCGUUACCAAAUAAUUCCCGUUAUUAUUAUUAUUAUUAUUUUUUCUCAUUGUGGUUUUGAUCUCUCACAAUCAAGAAUUUCUUGCGAUUCAAUGCACCACUUGUUGGAGACUCACCAAAUAAUUGUUUCCAGAUUCAUUGAACACGUUGUUUCCAUAAUAACUUAUGCAUUACGAAGAGCUGUGUUUUAUGAUAUGCUUAUUUUCAUUAAUUCUUUUGCAUUUUGCGCAACACGUAGUCAGAUUUUGCUAAUGGACAAAAUAUUAAACUUAGUGCUGAAACAUCUAGGUGGUCCUCUCUCUCUCUCUCUCUCUCUCUCUCUCUCUCUAUAUAUAUAUAUAUAUAUAUAUAUAUAUGUAUGAUGUUUGCUAACCUUACACACAUGUCACAUAUCUAUGAUGUUUGCUAACGUUACACACAUGUCACAUAUCUAUGUUUCUUGGGAGAUCUUGGUAAAAUUAAUGCAUAUCCCUUUUAGGUCCAAAUCCAAAACUUGUGAUGGAUACCAACUUGAUGCAAUCAAAGAUACGGAGAAUUAACUAAUUAAUGAUAUUAGCAGUGGCCUUCGAAAAAAAAAAAUACAGAAGUAUAAAUUAUUUUUUUGAUGUAACGUGUAUAUAGAUCGAGCAGAGUUACUAUACUCUUAUGAGAAUAGAAUUCUUCGUACUUGUAAAUUAUUUUCAAUGAUGAAGCCUCCUAAUCGACGAUUCACAUCGUUAAAUAUGAUCUCAAACAUUUGAAACUUUUUAAAAAUAAUUUCGUAAUUUUUCGAAGUCAUAAUAAAGUCCGUUAUAUAAGGAGGCAUAAAAUGAACGGUCAAAAUUGAAUGACGUCCUAAAAAUGGAUGAUUGUAUCCUUAAAUUUAAGGUCGGAGUUAUUGAUCUUUAUUUAUAUAGUAAAUAAAAUUUUUUUAUCAAAAUUAAGUCAAUUCUAAUUCUUUUAUAGCGUUAAACUAGUAAGUAUCUUUUGUGUGUGUGUAUAGAUAUAUAAGUAUGUAUGAGUACGACUGCUAUACUAUCGGUAAUACGGAUGUCUUCGUGCUACCAAGUUAUUUUCAAUGAUGCAACUUUUAGAUUGACGUUCGGCUCCGUUAGACUUGAUCUACACUAUUGAAAGUAUUUGAAAAUUAAAUUUUAUACUUUUUUCGACAACAAUUACUUAUCAAAUGAGUAGUCUAAAAAUAAAUGGCUAAAACUAAAAAUUUCAUAAGAAAUAAUAAUAAAAGACUUGAAUUUAAGAUCAGAUGUACCGAUCUUUCUCUAAAUAUUGAAAUGAAUUUUCUAUAUACAUUUUAUCAGAUUUGGAUUGUUUUGUGCCGUUAAAUUCACGAACGCAUCACAUUGACCAUCAAAAUUAUCAAUUUUGAGAUUUUUUGAUCACUAGCCAAAUAAUAUCGAAAAACUAUGAAAUUUAAUUUUUAUAUAUUUUCAAUAAUGUAAAUCAAGUUUAACGGAGCUGAUUUUUGAUUUGGAAGCCGCAUUAAUGAAAAAACUUGGUAGCACGAAAGUCUCCGUAUUACUGAUAAUAUAGAAGCUUAGCGCGCGCUCUCUCUCUCUCUCUCUUCUGUUCAAACAAAAAAGGAAAAUUUUCAUUUAGUUAAAAAUUAUUACUUUCUAUCUACAUCUCGCAGAUGCCAAAGCAGUGGUUAUAAACAGCAUAUUCUCCUCCAUUUGAUGUUACGAGUUAAUAAUUUUAGGCAAUUUUUUAAAUCAAUAAAUUAUUUAUUACAUUAAUAUCUUAGCCCACGAGGGGGGUCUUCUGGUGUUCAAAAGUUUUGUCCAAAGAAGUUUCUUUAGGAGCAUUAUUUCUCUACCUUUUCCUUAAAAUUAAGUUCUUAAUUAGUAUAUAUUAUCUUUAUGAGUUAUUGAUUAAGUUAAUCUUAGUCAGCGAGGGGGUUAAAUUUGGUCCAAAAAGAUUUGUUCAAAGUUUAGAAACAAGCCCCACUUGUAUUAUUUCUAUGUCAUUUCCUUCUAAAGGUUGUGGUCUUGUUUGGGUUUGCGGGAAUCAUAUGUUGCACGUAGUCAUAAAAUGUGGAAAAAAAGGAAAAAUAUUGCGCAAAUUAUAUAUUAUUUGUAUGCUUCUGUACAGGGUCUUUUUGAUUCGUCAGUAUCAAACAUCCUAAAUUUACUGAUGCAUAAUAUUUCUCCCAACUAUUACAUUUAGGAAUUUUUGAUUAUAUUAAUCUAGACUAAUUCGUGGUUUAAUUGAGUCCAAAAGUUUUCUUCGAAGUUUAGAAUAAAACCACAAGCAUAAUUAAUUAUUUCUACACCAUCUUCUAAUUAAAAUGGCUAAUUAGUAAAGUAAUUAAGUCUACUAAUGGAUGGAUGGUGAUUCCCCUAGCUAGUGAAAGUGGUGGCAAGUUCGUUGCAUGUCUCACAAGCUAGGGCAUUUCCAUUUUGUGAUUCCUCCAUUCAAAUAUUUUUUUUUACUAAGUAAAGAAGAAAUUAAGUCCCAAUCCUUUUUUUGAGUCAAUAAAGGAGAGCAAAAAAAAAGAAUACCUUUUUUUGCUUUUUUACUAGUAAGUAGAAAAGAAAGUCCCAAACCUUUUUGAGUCAAAAAAGAAGCAAAAAAAAAAGAAAAAAAAAAGAAGAAGAAAUUCCCAAUCCUCCACCCACUAAUUGCAUGUGUUAUGGUGUGGAGAAGUAAUAGCAAAGAGCUUUCUUUAUUUAUACUUUGUCUUCCCACAUAAUAUAGAACAUACAGAAUUUAUCUGAACUAUAAAUCAUUUUCAUUUAACCAUAUGAAUUUUUAAAAUUUUGAUUUUGCUAUAUUAUUUUUCAAUUUAUUUGAUUUAAGUUAGUCAACUGCAUUUUGUCUUUGAAAUUUGAAUGUGCCGAUUAUAUUUGCUAGCUUUGUUAGUACACUUCAUACCAUUCUAGUAAUUAUAAAUUCAUUAAAGUGAGUAAUAAUCUUAAAAUUUGAAGUCAAAGUAUCGUUGACUGAUUCAAAUCAAAUCAAAAUAUCGGUGACCAAUCUUUAACAAUAUCUAAAAGAUACUAUCUAGGGCAACCCUAAAAAUAUGUAGUGAUAUUUGUUGAGGUGGUUUCUCUUACAUUAAACCAAACCGAAUUAGAAGCAUGAAUCCAAACAAAUUAAUUUGGUAAGUUUUUUUGGUUUUAAUAAAAUAUUUUGUUUGUUUUAAAUUUUUUCAAACUAUUAGAAAUAAAAAAAAUCAUAAACAAUUUUAUUUUAAAUAUAUUAUAAUCUAAAAAUAAUAAAUAAUUAUUAUAUUUAAUUUUUAAUUAUUAUUUAAGAUUAAUUUUUUUCUAAAAAAAUUAAGACUAACAUAUAUUGAAUUAUUUAUUUCAUUUGUUCAAUUCUUUUUAGUUUCGUAUUUUUAAUAUCGGAUCAAAUCGAACCGUACGUAAAAUUGGACCGAACCCACUAGUUUUUGAUCGAUGUGGUUCGGUAAUUCGGUUUAAGCCAAGCCAUGUCAUCGUGUCGAAUCCAAUUUUGGUGGAGCAUCCACUAAAAUAAAUUUUUGUGGUCCCUUCGGGUCGUGUCGCUCGUGUGGGCCACGUGGAGUCGUGGCAUCUGGCACGUGCGAACAGGAUUCCGAUUCUCCGAGGGGGCAGUUCAGUCAAUUCACUCCCCGUUCAAAGUUCAAACCCCCACCACCAAUCUCCGUGCACUUUCCCGGGCAAUUUCUCAAACACCUCCUCGGCAAACCCUCGUGGCCCCACCUCGCCCCUCCCUAUAUAUACACAUACACACAUAACGUUCUUAUUAUCUCACCCCAUAUCUACACACACACACACACGCUACUGUUGCAUAGAGAGAGUGAGAAGGGGAGGGUAUAUACAUACAUACAUAUACAUAAUGGAUGAGCUUCCGAAGUGCCCGGCGAAUUACGUGCCGCUGAGCCCCGUCACGUUCUUGGAACGGGCGGCGGCCGUGUACGCCGACCGGACCUCGAUCAUAUACGGCCGCAAGCGCUUCACCUGGAAGCAGACGCAUGAGCGGUGCCGCCGCCUCGCCUCCGCCAUUCGUGCUCUCAAUAUCAGCAAAAAUGACGUCGUAAGUCCAUACAUGCAUACAUACAUAUACCUAUAUAUCUAUAUAUUUAUGGAGAUAUUGAUCAAGUCAAAUCGUUGACUGAGUCAAAUGAGUAUAAUGCAACCCGCCUGGCACUAUUUUUCUUGCGCCAAUACAUAUGUAUAAGUACGUGUAUAUAUUUAUAUGUGAUAGGUUUCGGUGCUGGCGCCGAAUGUCCCGGCGAUGUACGAGAUGCACUUUGCGGUGCCGAUGGCGGGGGCGGUGCUCAACACGAUAAACACGCGCCUCGACGCGAAGACGGUGGCCACCAUCCUCCGCCACGCCGAGGCGAAGCUCUUCUUCGUGGACUGGCAGUACAUCCGCCUCGCCCGCGACGCGCUCAAGCUCCUCCUCCUCAGUGAACCGCGGCAGCAGCAGCAGCUGCCGCUGGUGGCGGUGAUUGACGACGCGGAGACGGCGACGGGGGUCCGGCUCGGCGAGCUGGAGUACGAGGAGAUGGUGGCACGUGGGGACGCGGGGGCGGAGCCGCAGAGGGUAGGGGACGAGUGGGACGCGAUCGCGCUGAAUUACACGUCGGGGACGACGUCGGCGCCGAAAGGGGUGGUGUACAGCCACCGCGGGGCGUACCUGAGCACGCUGAGCCUGCUGCUGCAGUGGGGGGUGGGCCCGGCGCCGGUGUACCUCUGGACCCUCCCCAUGUUCCACUGCAACGGCUGGACCUUCCCCUGGGGCGUGGCCGCGCGCGGCGGCACCAACGUCUGCCUCCGCAGCGCCUCCGCUGCCGGCAUCUUCGCCGCCAUCGCCGACCACGGCGUCACCCACAUGUGCUGCGCCCCCGUCCUGUUCCGGAUCCUCCUCGAGGGACCAGUACCCGAGGCGCAGCAGCAGCUGCGGCGGGGCGUGGAGGUGCUGACGGGCGGUGCGCCGCCGCCCGCAGCGCUGCUGGAGCGCGUGGAGCGCAUGGGGUUCCGCGUCACGCACGCCUACGGGCUGACGGAGGCGACGGGCCCCGCGCUCGCCUGCGAGUGGCGCGCCGAGUGGGACCGCCUCCCGGCGGCCGAGCGUGCCGCACUGAAGGCCCGGCAGGGCGUGAGCGUGCUGUCCCUGGCCGACGCCGACGUGAAGAACACCAAGACCAUGCGGAGCGUCCCCCGUGACGGCAGGUCCGUGGGGGAGAUCGUGCUCCGCGGCAGCAGCAUCAUGAAAGGCUACCUCAAGAACCCCGCGGCGAACGCGGAGGCGUUCAGAGAAGGCGCCGGGUGGUUCUUCACGGGCGACGUCGGGGUCGUCCACCCUGACGGCUACGUUGAGAUCAGGGACCGGUCCAAGGACGUGAUCAUCAGCGGCGGCGAGAACAUCAGCAGCGUCGAGGUCGAGGCCGUGCUGUACAGCCACCCGGCCGUGGCCGAGGCCGCCGUGGUCACCAUGCCGCACCCGCUGUGGGGGGAGACUCCGUGUGCCUUCAUCGUGCUGAGGGAGGGUCCCAAUUCCGCAAACGAGGAGGACGUUGUCGCCCACUGCCGAGCCAACAUGCCGCAUUUCAUGGUGCCCAAGAAGGUGGUGUUCGUCGACGGCUUGCCGAAGACCGCCACGGGGAAGAUACAGAAGAACGAGCUCAGAAAAGAAGCAAAGAAUUUAAAAGUAACCGCGCCAGCGCCGGCGCCAGCGCUAGAGAGGAGUUCACAACAACAGCAGCAGCAGCAGCAGCAGCAGCAGCAGCAGCAGAAGCACAGCCAAAAGAAGUCCACGACCACAACAAGGCACGGUCAAACUGAGCAGCAAAUACUCGCCAUCUCAAAGCUCUAAACUUACUCUAUUAUCAUUAUUAUUAUUACUAAUAUUAUUUUUCUUGUAGUAGUAAUCGAAUGGUAUAUAUGGCAUAGUACGUAUCUUGUUUAAUAUACAUAAACACUCUGCAGUACUGGUAUUAAUGUACGUAGUGUUGUAGAUCAGAUCUCGAUCGAUCUUAAAUUGUCAACGUGGAUAAUCAAAUACUUGUGAGUAUUAAGUAUUGUUCGUAUUAUUAGUAGAUAGAGAUCUCGGGCAUGCACGACCUUGUAACGAAGCUAAUAAAAUACUUGUGACUUGUGAGCUGUGAUUAUUUAGUUGGAAAAUGCUUUGGGUUUCUUACAAUUUUAUCGAUGUAAAUUUUGUCGAUGUGAAUCAAAUUAAUAUUUGAUAAAGAUGUAUAGACGUUAUCUGAACUGUAAACUAUUUUAAUUUAGUUUUUCAAUUUUUCAAAUUUUGAUUUUAAUAUUUAACCUUUCAAUUUAUUUGAUUUGCGUUAAUCAACGGUACUUUAAAUCAAAAAUUUAAAUGUAUUAUUUAUCUUUAUAGAAUUAAUUGGUAUGUUUCUUAUAAUUCUCACAAUUAUAAAUUUAUUAAAAUAAGCAAUUUACUUAAACUUUAAAGUUAAAGUGCCAUCGAGUGGCUCCAAUCAAAUAAAUUGAAAGAUUGUAUAGCAAAAUCAAAAUUUUAAAAAGGUUAAACAACCAAAUCAAAAUAAUCCUUAAUUCAGAUAAGUUUUAUAAAAUUUUAUCCAAAAUAUUCUAUAUUAUAGUGCAAUUGUAUUAUCACUAACAUAUCACCGACAAAUAAGAAUAAUAUUAUACGACUUACAUAAUAUUACUUGGUUGUUGCUGCUUAACUUAUAGCUAAUUCCACAAUCUUUUUUUUUUCAGAAAAAAGAUAGCACACUAUUCGCUUCAUUCAUUGGAGGGAUAAAUUAAGUUAUAGGGUUGAGGCAUCACAAGCCUUAGAGAGGGCGGGCGAGAGAGAGCGAAAAAAGAAAACUACAGAAGAACUACGCUACCAACUAUAGAAGAACUAUACUACCGAUUAUAGAAAUGCCUAUUUGCUGAGAGAAAUUGCUCCCAUAGAUUCGUCAAUUGUUUAAUCUUGUAGACUGCAUGCCAGAAGGGGGGCCGGCUGGGCCUUUCUAAAGAUUGCUUCGUUCCUAACAUUUGAAGUUACCCACCUGCAGCUGCUAGUAUGAUUAGCGUAGUACUCGUCGACUGCAUUCCAUUUCUAGCCAUCCACGUAUCUCAGACCAAAUUCACAUCGUUUCUCAAAUCUCUAGACUGGACACUCUCUAAAGUCGAUCAUCCCCAUUAGAAAUAUUUGUGCUCUAUUUCACAAUUCAAUUUAGUUGAUUACAUAUUUAUAUUUUGUUGAUAUACAUGAAUAUAAUGUAACAUCCUGCCUGUUAUUGCGCCAUCAGUCACAACACUGUCACAUUAUAAUGAAUUUGCCAACACAUCCUUAUCUAUAAGGACAAUAUUUUGAAAGACUAUUCAUGUCUAGCAUUUAAUAUAUGAGACUUCAUGAGAUGCAAGUUUAUAAAGAGGGUAUUUUUGCGUGUCCCCCAAAUGGCUUCGUCCUUCCAAAGUUGCUGUGUCCCCAAACUUUUGAUUAAUGCGUACAAACAAUUUAAGAAAUUACAAAUCUUUUGACAAUUCACUAUAACUUCAUAAUCUUUUUCCUUCCCCGUACACAUUAGAAAACAAAGUUAUAAGGAAUCGUCAACAUAUCAAAAGCGAAUAGAGAGUGCUAUUUAGAAGGAACUCAAUGCGUUUUUUCCACACGUUUGAAAAGGGCUAAACGUACAUUGACUUGAGAUGAGAAAUGAGCUUUAGAUAUAUUAUUUCUGCUAUACAUUUUAUGUUGGGGUAAAUUAUAUUAAAAAUCUGAUUAUGAUUAAUUAUCUAAUUAAUUUUAUGAUAAGAAUAAAUUUAAAUUUAUAAAUAAACGGUAAAAUUCAAAUAAAUGAUUUGAUCAAUCCGGAAGCAUGCAUAGCAGUGUUUUAAGGCAUAUUCCCGUUCUUCUUACGGAAUUAAUUAUGAAUACCACCCCAAGGUGCGACGAAAAUUUCUCUCCCUACGAGUAUGAACGCAGAAGAGAUUGAUGGAGAAACUUUUAACACUCGGCGAUAAAGAAAGAUCAAUCAAAGUAAAAGAAAAUAGGAGAUGAAAUAAACGUAAAACAAAUUUUCUUUUAAUCCUUUAUUUUUUGUUUUUCUUCUCUACCAUAGAGGUGGGAGUUGAACAGUGCUAAAACCACUUAUAUAGAAAAUAAAAUAAUAAAUAAAUAUUAAUUAAUUAAAAUAAUAAAUGAUAAUAAAUAAGCUAAUAAAUUAAUAAUGAUAAUAAUAAUAAUAAUAAUAAUAAUAAUAAUAAUAAUAAUAAAGGAAGUAAUUAGGAAAUUUUGGAUUUUUCACCAACAUUUUAAUGUAUAUUAUAAUAUAAUAAAGUAUUUCAAAAUUAUUUUUCAUAAAUUUAGUGAGAAUAUGAUGAACUAGUGCAAGCAAUAAUUUUUGCAACCAAAAUCUUUUUUUCGUAAUAUCUAAUAAUAUAAUUAUCUUUCUUCUGUCUCUUAUCGUAUGUUUAUUUUAUAUGUGUGCGUCAAAAAAGAUUAACCAUGAAAACUUUUUUUUUGAUAUUUAAAUAUAUAAUGCAUGUGUGGAAUAUUGUGCAAACAAUAUAAUUGUAGUUUUGAAAAUUAAUAUUUUUUAGAAAAAACACGCGUACACUAGUUGUGUAUUGUUGUUGAGGUUUCACGAUGGAAAAUAUUAAAUUUGGCUUGCUAAAUUUCAUUGGUAAAACGACUCACCACAAUAUUAGUAAAUUAGAUGGUGUGUAGUGAUAGAAAAUUAAUUUUAUCAUUUUGGCUCCAAAUAAAAUAAUUUAGUGAGCCAACUUAUAUUAGAAUAUAUUUUUUAAGAAAUAAAUGUCUCUACAAACUCUACUAUUAGAAAAGGAUAUAGUACACCGACCGUCCCUAUCGCAAGUAGCAAAAGAGUUUGAUGGUUGGUAUCCGAGACCCAAGUUCGAAUCCUAAUUGAUUCACAUUUUCAGCUAAGUUUAUUUCUAAAUGAAAUAAAUGAAGCGGUAGCGUGCUAUCUAUCUCUCAAAAAAAGAAGAAAAGGAUAAAGUAUUUAAUGCUGAUGAAUUAAUGAUGUGGUACUUCAAUCGCCUGAUUGAUUACAUUAAUUCAUAUAUAUAUAUAGAGAGAGAGAGAGAGAGAGAGAGAGGGAGUUGAGCUAGAAUACUCUCAAAAGCACCAAAGGGUUUUAGCCAUUGGAUGGAGAGAUAUAGGGUUGAGAUGAUGGUGGUAGGUGGUGGUAGGUGGUGAUAGGUAGAAUAGUGUUUGAUCCAAAAGCUAUUAGUAAUUAAGGAGUAAAUCCAAUUGCUAGAAACUUAAAAGCACCAAGUAGUUGAUGCUUCUAAAAGUAUUCUAGCUCAAUUCUAUAUAUAUAUAUAUAUAUAUAUAUAUAUAUAUAUAUAUAUAUAUAUAUAUAUAUAUAUAUAUAUAUGCUAUCGGAAGCAAGGAGCCUUCCGUGCUUCCAGCUCAUUUCCGAUGUUGCGAUUUUCGAAUCGUCGAUCGGCUCCGUUAAACUUGAUCUAGAAUAUUUGGAGUACCUAGAAAAUAAAUUUUGUUAUUUUUUGAUAUAAUUUGCCUUGUGAUCGAUGGGCUCAAAAUCAACAAAUUUCAAUGGCCGUAGUGAGCCGUUUGCAAGUUUAACGGUGUAGAAAUAUCUAAAUCACGUGAAAUUUUGAUAGAAAUUUUUAUACUAUAUAAAACAAGAUUAAUAUCUUUGAUUUAAAAUUUUAAUGUCAUAUUAUUACAUUUUGUAAGAUUUUUAUUUUCAGCCGUUGAUUUUGAGCCCUUCGUUCAUUAGGCAAAUGAUAUCGUAAAAUCAUAAAAUUAUUUUCUAGAUAUUUCAAAUACUCUAGAUCAAAUUUAAUGGAGCCGAUCGACGAUUCGAAAGUCGCAACAUCGAAAAUGAGCUGGAAGCACGGAAGGCUCGUACUUCCGGUAGCAUAGUAGUCUCACUAUAUAUAUAUAUAUAUAUAUAUAUAUAUAUAUAUAUAUAUAUAUAUAUAUAUAUAUAUAUAUAUAUAUUAAUUAGUCAUCGUGGCUAUGAAAAGCAGAAAAAAAGACACUCUUUUUCUUUUUUUUAAUAGGAUUUCAAAAGGCCAUUAAUGAUUUGUGGGAGGAUCAAAAUCAUAAUUGUACGGUUAAGAGUGUGCAUUCAAACAAGCUCAAAAAGAAAUUGUGGGUCACAAAGCGUGCAGCGGUCAUCUUUGUCGUGGUACAUUUUGGUACGCUACGGGCGUGUUUGAUUUUGGUGGGAAUAGGGGUCGAAGCGACUGAGUUCUCCUAACCGCAGUUUGCUAGCGUUUGGACGGAAUCACAGAGCUCGACUUUCGUGAGGCCUACAUCGCCUGCUUGUAAUAAAUGCGAAGUCAAGCUCCAUCGUACACACAGAAUUGGUGGCUACCGUGGCUCAAACCUUAAAGAAAAAUUAAAAAAAAAAAAAAAUCAAAGUGUACCGUAAGGAGGAAAAAUUAUAUAUAUGAAACCAAUUUUAGGUACGUAUCAAUUUACAAUCACUUGAUCAACACAAGAAAAUGCACAAUAACAUUUUAAUUGGACAACUAUGUCUAAUAAAAUGAUAUAUAAUAAAAAUAAAAAAUCAUAUAAAAUACAAGAGAGAUUAUUUACGAAUUCGCAUGCGAUAGAAAUGAAUAGUUCAAUUAAAGGGUUUAUAAAACUGUUGAUCUAAAUUUGCAAUCAUAAACUUUUGGAUUGAAUGAGCUUCAACACUACAACAGAAUUAGAUUAUAGGGACACAUGUUUGUGGCACUUUUGAGUAAGUGUCUCAUUUAUUCUAAAACUUAAAAAAACAUCUACUAAUGCCUAAAUAUAAAGUCCAAUCCAACCAAAAAUAAAAGAUUACUCUACUCAACCCACCACACCCAGUCUAUUUGGCCCGAUUAUAAAUAGAAAAGAAAAAAGAAAAAAAUCAAUUACCAUCUUUUCUUCUCUCUUUACUCAAUCCACUGAAAUUCUAGACGAAGAGCCUUUCCUGUCGUCCUCCUCCGCAACCGCAGCCAACGAGAUAGAGUUUCGACGGUUGCUAAAUGCUUAAAUAAAUGUUAGUAAAUUAGGAGCACUCUUUCAGGUUAUAGCGACACUCUUUAACUGUCACUAUAUACCUAGCGACCCCACAUAUAGCAACACUUUUUAAAAGUGUCGGUAAUUUUAGCUAGCAGCACUUUUUUGACAUGUACCUACAUUUAAAAGUGUCGCUAUAGACCGUUUUUGUUGUAGUGACUACAUAUAUCGCACAAAGCAGAUUUGAGUUUUUAUUCUAAAUAAAUUAAUUUA
rnacentral:lncRNA from 1 species